rnacentral:lncRNA from 1 species
UAGCUAUAAGGAAGCCAUGGCAGGCCCGGAGUCUGCGAAAUGGAAAGAGGCAACGGACAGCAAGAUCCAGUCCAUGUAUGACAACCAAGUUUGGAAUUUGGUUGAUAAUGUGCCCGGACGUAAGACCGUUGGGUGCAAAUGGAUCUUCAAGAAGAAGACCGACGUGGAUGGAAACGUACACACAUAUAAAGCGCGAUUGGUUGCGAAGGGCUUUACUCAAACUCCUGGAGUUGACUAUGAUGAGACCUUCUCACCAGUUGCGAAGAUUAAAUCUAUUAGAGUGAUGCUAGCUAUUGCCGCAUUUCAUGAUUAUGAGAUUUGGCAAAUGGAUGUCAAGACCGCUUUCCUUAAUGGGAAGUUGGCUGAGGAUGUUUACAUGGCUCAGCCCGAGGGGUUUGUGGAUCCGAAGCAUCCGAAUAGAGUGUGUAAGCUUGAGAAGUCCAUUUAUGGACUUAAGCAAGCGUCUCGCAGAUGGAAUCUUUGCUUCGAUGAGAAAGUUAAAGAGUUUGGAUUUGUAUGAAGCGAAGAUGAAUCUUGUGUAUAUGUCAAAGCCAGAGGGAGUAUAAUAAGCUUCCUCGUUCUGUAUGUCGAUGACAUACUACUAUUAGGAAAUGACGUCCCGACUCUGCAGGAGGUUAAGUACUGGCUCGGGAAGUGCUUCGCUAUGAAGGACCUCGGAGAGGCUUCCUAUAUUUUGGGAAUAAGGAUAGUGAGAGAACGAAGUAAGAGACUAAUAGGACUUAGUCAGAACACUUACUUAGAUAAGGUACUAAAACGUUUUAGUAUGGAAAACUCGAAGAAGGGAGAAUUACCGAUACAAAGUAAUGCCAAGUUGAGUAAGACUCAAAGUCCGAGUACCGAAGCUGAAAUAGCAGAAAUGAGCCGAGUACCAUACGCUUCCGCAGUUGGCUCAAUCAUGUAUGCUAUGACUUGUACUCGCCCUGAUGUAGCCUUUUCUUUGAGCAUGGUUAGUAGAUAUCAAGGGAACCCUGGCAGAGCCCAUUGGAUUGCAGUCAAGAAUAUGCUUAAGUACCUUCGGAGGACCAAGGAAUGGUUUUUAGUCCUCGGAGGGAGUGAUAACUUGAACGUGCGAGGGUAUAGUGACGCCAGCUUUCAGACGGGACAGGGACAACUACCGUUCGCAGUCGGGCUGGGUCUUUACCCUGAAUGGAGGAGCAAUAACUUGGAAAAGUUCCAAGUAGGAAACCGUAGCUGAUUCAACGUGCGAAUCAGAGUACAUUGCAGCGAGCGAAGCGUCGAAGGAGGCAAUAUGGUUAAAGAACUUCAUCGGUGAUCUUGGAGUUGUACCUGCCAUAAAGGAGCCAAUGGAGAUUUUCUGUGAUAACGAAGGNNNNNNNNNNNNNNNNNNNNNNNNNNNNNNNNNNNNNNNNNNNNNNNNNNNNNNNNNNNNNNNNNNNNNNNNNNNNNNNNNNNNNNNNNNNNNNNNNNNNNNNNNNNNNNNNNNNNNNNNNNNNNNNNNNNNNNNNNNNNNNNNNNNNNNNNNNNNNNNNNNNNNNNNNNNNNNNNNNNNNNNNNNNNNNNNNNNNNNNNNNNNNNNNNNNNNNNNNNNNNNNNNNNNNNNNNNNNNNNNNNNNNNNNNNNNNNNNNNNNNNNNNNNNNNNNNNNNNNNNNNNNNNNNNNNNNNNNNNNNNNNNNNNNNNNNNNNNNNNNNNNNNNNNNNNNNNNNNNNNNNNNNNNNNNNNNNNNNNNNNNNNNNNNNNNNNNNNNNNNNNNNNNNNNNNNNNNNNNNNNNNNNNNNNNNNNNNNNNNNNNNNNNNNNNNNNNNNNNNNNNNNNNNNNNNNNNNNNNNNNNNNNNNNNNNNNNNNNNNNNNNNNNNNNNNNNNNNNNNNNNNNNNNNNNNNNNNNNNNNNNNNNNNNNNNNNNNNNNNNNNNNNNNNNNNNNNNNNNNNNNNNNNNNNNNNNNNNNNNNNNNNNNNNNNNNNNNNNNNNNNNNNNNNNNNNNNNNNNNNNNNNNNNNNNNNNNNNNNNNNNNNNNNNNNNNNNNNNNNNNNNNNNNNNNNNNNNNNNNNNNNNNNNNNNNNNNNNNNNNNNNNNNNNNNNNNNNNNNNNNNNNNNNNNNNNNNNNNNNNNNNNNNNNNNNNNNNNNNNNNNNNNNNNNNNNNNNNNNNNNNNNNNNNNNNNNNNNNNNNNNNNNNNNNNNNNNNNNNNNNNNNNNNNNNNNNNNNNNNNNNNNNNNNNNNNNNNNNNNNNNNNNNNNNNNNNNNNNNNNNNNNNNNNNNNNNNNNNNNNNNNNNNNNNNNNNNNNNNNNNNNNNNNNNNNNNNNNNNNNNNNNNNNNNNUGUUGGAAUAGUGUCUAAGGCUGCAACUAUAUUUGGCAAGUAUUUGACCCGGUUGUGCAUGGUCCUUUUGGGUUGCCUUCACCAUAGCAACUUGACAGGAUGAUUUAUAAUGAGAGAAGAAAUAUUAUUAAUAUAUUAUGAGAAUAAUAUAAUGAAUAAUAAUAUUGUUAUUUGAUUAAUAUAAGUCAUAAAUUAAUUAGGAAUUAAUUUGGUGACUUAAACAGAUUAAUUAAAUAAAAGGGCAUAAACUGUCAAUUGUAUGAUAGUUGUACUUUGGGCUAUAAUCCCUUAUGGAUAAGGGGUGGACGGUUUUGGGGUUUGGAAGGACCUAGAAAUCGUCCAAGGCUUAUCAUUAGGGAGAUUGGAUUGCUUAGGGCCUAAUUUAUCCAAUUAGGGUUUGAGGGUGACUUCCUAAGAGCCUCACUAGUAUAAAUAAACCCAUGGGGUCAAGGAAAUCGACACUCUUGCCUUUGAAGAAACCCUGGCCAACUUCCUGCCCUCUCCUCUCUCUCUCUCUAAACAUCCUCUUCCUAAGUUGGUGUUUGUAAGCCAUUAGAGGAGUGACAUUUGUGACUCUAUGCUUCAAGGACAAGAAGAUUGAAGCAAGCAAUUUAAGGUAAACUUUCAGAUCUGAUUUCAUGUGUUAUGAUAUGAAUGUUUUCAUUAGAUCUAUCAAUCAAAGUCUUGGAUACAUUGCAUGUUCAAUUAGAGAAACCUAGAUCCAAGCAUUAGGGUUUGCACGUGCACAUAGGAAAGUUCUUAUGGCUCAAACCCAUCAACAACUCGGCGAGUCGGAUGCAGAUUGUCGAAGUGUUAGUAACAAAGAGGAACUCGCCGAGUUUGUGCCAAAACUUGACGAGUAGUAGCGAGUAGAAGCAAGAAAGUUAAAGUAAGGACUCGACGAGUUUGUGACCCAACUCGACGAUUUAGGUCAACUGAAUGUUGACUUUAACCGUUAGGUUGACUUGGACCAGGGGUAAGAGAGUCAUUUUACCCUUAGUAUUAUUAUAAGUAUUUGAUUGAUGGUACUUAUGGAAAUUGUAGCCGGGAUGAAACCGGAGCCGCAACAGACAGAUUCCGGAGCAGUUCUUUCAGCAGCUAGGCUACGAGGUGAGUUUCCUUCCAGUAGGAACGGGUCUACGGCCACAAUGCCGACCCGUUUAGUUAGCAGUAGUUUCAGACCUCGGUCUGAUGCAGUAGUUAGGGUGCUUGAUGUCUUUGUGAUUCAAGCAUGUUUUGUGUUAUGUGUUCCGGACUCUGUUCCGAUGCAGUAUCCAGUAUAUGUAGUCAUGUUAGUUGAUAUGUUUAUACUAUGUUAUGUUCAGUCAGUUCCGGACUUCGGUCCGAUGCAGGGGACAAGGUCCCAAUCAGUUCUGGACUUCGGUCCAAUGCAGUUAGUUCCAGACAUCGGUCCGAUGCAGAGGGCAAGGCCCUGGUUAGUUCCGGACUCCGGUCCGAUGUAGUUUCCGGACUACGGUCCGAUGCAGAGGGCAAGGCCCUGGUUAGUUUCCGUGCUUUGGUCCGAUACAGUGGGCAAGGCCCAGUAGAUGAUUUAUAUGUUACUGUAUGGUAUGUAGUAGUUUGGGGGAGCUCACUAAGUUUUGUGGUUACAGUUUCAGUUUAGGUUUCAGGUACUUCCGCAAGUAAAGGGAAGAAGUUGGGAUGAUGGCAUCGCACACACCACAACUUCAGUCUUUUUCCUGGGAGCUUGUUUUAAUUCAUAGUUUGAUUUGGCACAAAUGUUCAUGACAUUUUAUUAUGGGUUGAGAUAUUUUACACAUGGUUUUAUGAUGUGACGAUCAGUAUAUGGUUUUUAUUAUCAUUAAAACAAUUUUUUUUUGGGUUGUAUUUUUGGAUGUUACAAGUUGGCAUCAAAGCCUUGGUUUGAGGGAUUCGGGCACACUUUCGGGUGUGUCUGAACUCAAACUAAGGAAGUGGUAAAAUGCUUUCAAAAGAAAAGAGUUUUAUAAAGUGAAAAGAAUUUUUAGAACGAAAAGAACUUUGAGAAGAGAAAAGGGGUGUGGUGCAUGCGAUAAGCCGAGCUCAAGUGUGUACUCCCAAAUUACCCAUACGAGUUUACGUUAUGAGUUAUCAGUUUUAGUUUCAGUAGAACAUCAUGCUAGAAUAGGACUAAGGAUCUAGGAGGAUGCCUUAUGUGCCUGCUAUAUGUGUUUCAGCCUUAUGAGAAUUGCAUACUAGUUGAGUAGGCAGUAGUAGGAUAGCCUGUUUAGGUUAUGCCUGAUAGUAUGAGCUUAGCAUUGUAUGCUAGUAUCGGUCCUUGUUAUGAGGACAGAGUUGCUUGAGUAGUUUUUCUGUGUCUAAAUGCUGCUUGCUUUGUGCUUUGUGGGGCUCUGAGUGAUGGGAGUUAGCCAUUAGGUGAAUACGUCACGUCACAUGUGAACAGGGUUGAAUAAUCUCAGAGUGCUAGAUUUGGCCCUAUUGCGCAACUCUGGUAUGAUUCUGACCGUAGUAGGGACGGGUCUUUACUCGAAGGAUUAUCUGAGCCUCGCCACAUGUGAUGGUAUUCAGGUAAUGGCUAAUUAGCUUUACAAGGAGGCCUUUAGCAGCUGAGGACUGGUUUGCGUGGAGUCAGAAGUUCCCUUGGGCAAGCCUAGGAAGGUAGUAGCAGAGAUCAGUAGCUAUAAAGUGACUUGGUGGAGUGAAGGCAGUUCUUGAGGAAAGUACGGAUAGAUGUGGAAGGUAGUAUGGGCCCGUACUACUGAAAGCAGAGGAUCUGUACUCAAAUCAAGAAAGCUGAGAUGAGACCAGGAAACUUGUGAUAAUAAUGAUCCCUCGAGAUAUAUUUAUGAUCUUGAAGUUUAUUAUGAUGUGUUUUCAAAAUGGUGGUAUUGCGCCCUCGACCAGCAGUCAACAGUUCAGGUGCCGAAGGGGGAUCAGGAUCAGACCCGGAGGCUGGACAGAUGGAUGAGCAGACUAGGGAGUUUCUCUCUUCAGAGAUUACUCGCACCAUACUUGAGCAGAAUCCUGUGAUCUUUGGUUCAAUCAAGGAGGGUAUCUUAGAGUUGAUGGACGAGAGAUUGAGCACUUUCCGUGCUGAGGUAGCGGCCAUGAUGGGGUCGCACACGCUUACCUUCAGGGAGUUCCGUGCAUGUGGAGCUCUAGAUUACCAUGGGGCGCAGGACCCCACUGUGAGUACCAGAUGGUUGGCGGAUGUGGCUAACGCAUUCCGCACGAGCAGAUGUCCCGAUGGGGACAAGGUCAGAUUGGCGUCCUGUCUUCUGAAGGAUAGGGCACGAGAUUGGUGGGAAGAGGUUGGUCAUGCCAUCAGGGAUGAUGCAGCUUUGGAUGCCAUGACAUGGACAGACUUUUCUACCAGGUUCAGAGCUGAGUUCGCAUUGGGGAUUGAGGUGCAGCAGUUAGCACGCGAGUUCCAGGAUUUGACUCAGACUACAGAGACAGUGGCGGAAAUUACCGCCAAGGUCAGAGAGAGGGCACUUCUUGUUCCUCAGUACGCAACUGAUGAGGAAAUGAAGAAAGCCCGUUAUCAUGAGAUGUUGUGGAGUGAUAUCCGCCAGUUCGUGAGCCGGUCCAGCUGUAAGACGCUGGAUGACAUGAUUGCUAGGGCGAGAGAGAGAGAGAGAGAGAGAGUAACCUUCAGAUGGAGAGAAAGAGGAAGCCGGAGGCGGCUCCAGGUUCAGGGAGUUCGGGCAAAAAGCCCAAGGGUUCAGAUCACAGAGCUAGGAGUCAGCAGAGCCACGCUCGGUGUGGCAAGUGUGGGAGAUUGCACGAUGGGGCGUGCAAGGCAGGGAGUGCCGGCUGCUACAAGUGCGGCCGGACUGGGCAUAUGAGCAGAGAUUGUACAGUCACUACUACCGUCAUUGCGGCAUCAGAUCUGAUUUGCUUUCAGUGCAAUCAGAGGGAACAUAAAAAGUCCCAGUGUCUGAGUUUAGCUGCUGCGGGGAAGGUGUCAGCACCUGCUCCUGCUACUUUGAGGAUUACAGAUGGCUAUCAGGGCCGAGCUGAGACGCCAGUGGCAAAGAGUAGGGCUUUUCAGCUGACAGCAGAGGAGGCGUGCGNCGAGUGACUCCUGAUGUGGUGGCGGGUAUGUAUUUUUCCCUUAUCUCAGUAUUUAUUUUUGAUUGUUUCUUAUGGUUAUAUGUUUUGUAUAGGGUCGUUCUCGGUGAACGGCAUUUCAGCUACAAUAUUGUUUGAUUCAGGAGCUACUCGAUCAUUCAUCUUUCUUGCACUUAGCAAGAGGUUUAGCAGAGCUCCAUGGGAGCUAGAUUGUCCACUUGAGGUUGAGAUAGCAACUGAUAGGACCGUUAGGGUUGCAAGGGUACACAGAGGGUGUUCCCUACAGUUAUUCGAUGAGCAGUUUCCGGUGGACUUGGUCCCUAUUCCCCUGUGUGGGAAUAAGGUCAUAGUAGGCAUGGAUUGGCUGAGCCCCAAUGGGGAAGUGAUAGAUUGUGAGCUACAGUUGGUGAGGGUUCGCACUCCCAGUGAGGGAGAGUUAGUGAAUCAGGGCGAGAAGCCACACCACGGACCAGUUCUGUGUUCAUCAGCGAGAGCGAGGCGCUACUUUCAGCAGGGUUGCGCUGGCUAUAUUGCCUAUGUUUUAGAUGCCCGGGAGAAGGGCAAGAUGACAAUUGAUGAUGUUCCGGUGGUGCGAGACUACCCGGAUGUAUUUCCGGAGGAUUUUCCAGGGAUACCUCCUGAGAGACAGGUUGAGUUCGGGAUUGAUCUAAUCCUUGGUGCGGCUCUAAUAGCCAAGGCACCAUAUCGUUUGGCUCCCCCAGAGAUGCAAGAGUAGUCUACGCAGCUGCAAGAGCUGCUAGACAAGGGAUUUAUCAGGCCGAGCAGUUCGCCCUGGGGUGCACCAAUUUUAUUCGUGAAGAAAAAGGACGGGUCGCACCGUAUGUGUAUAGAUUACCGGGAGCUGAAUAAGGUAACGGUGAAGAACCGUUACCCACUUCCAAGGAUAGAUGAUUUGUUUGAUCAGCUUCAGGUAGCGUCUUGGUUCUCCAAUAUCGAUUUACGCUCCGGAUAUCACCAGAUGCGGGUUAGAGGCGAGGAUGCGUAGAAGACUGCCUUCAGGACCAGGUAUGGUCAUUAUGAGUUUGUGGUGAUGCCGUUUGGGCUCACCAAUGCUCUGGCCGCGUUCAUGGACCUGAUGAACUGCGUGUGCAGGCCGAUGCUGGAUCGGUCUGUGAUAGUAUUCAUAGACGAUAUCUUGGUGUAUUCCAAGACUCAAGAGCAGCAUGAGGAGCACCUGAGAAAGGUGCUAGAGGUUUUUAGGAGGGAGAGACUUUUCGGGAAGUUCUCCAAGUGCGAGUUAUGGUUGCGCGAGGUGCAGUUCCUUGGUCACCUUGUCAACCAGAAGGGUAUUUUUGUAGAUUUGUCCAAGAUUGAGGCCGUGAUGCAGUGGGAGGUCCCGAAGUCUCCAUCCGAGAUUCGGAGUUUCCUAGGUUUGACAGGGUAUGACAUGAGAUUCAUCCAUGAUUUCUCCAAGAUAGCAGCACCGCUCACCCGACUGAACAAGAAGUCGCUAGCAUUUCGUUAGGGGCCUGAGCAGCAGGUAACGUUUGAGACCCUCAGGCAGAGAUUGUGCGAGGCACCGAUUCUUACCCUGCCAGAGGGAGUAGAGGAUUUCAUAGUCGACUGUGAUGCCUUGAUCACAUGUAUGGGAGCAUUGUUGAUGCAACGAGGCUGUGUCAUAGCUUACACCUCGAGACAGUUGAAGCCCCACGAGGCUAAUUAUCCUACACAUGAUUUAGAGUUAGGGGUGGUGGUGUUUGCCCUCAAGAUUUGGAGGCAUUACCUUUAUGGGUCCGUUGUACCAUUUACACGGAUCACAAGAGCUUGAGGUACCUCAUGGAUCAGCCGAAUCUGAACAUGAGGCAGAGGCGAUGGUUAGAUGUGUUGAAGGAUUAUGACUGUAAGAUACUUUAUCACCCAGGGAAGGCCAACGUAGUGGCCGACGCCCUGAGCCGCAAGGAAGUUGCGGCCCCGAUCAGAGACAUUUGUUUGAGGAUGACGGUGAUUACUCCAUUAUUGGAGCAAAUCAAGGAGGCACGGGUAGAGGGCCUUAAGGAGGAAAGACAGAAGUGUGAGAGGAUCGUGGGCCGAGUAGCUUCUUUUGACCAUGAUAGUAGAGGAUUGUUGACCCUUCAGUGGAGAGUUUGGGUGCCGUACUGGGGUGGUGGCACGUCAUGGAGUGCUUGUUUUAGUGGUGUCAGACCAAGAUGUCUGUUUUACUUCCAGAUUCUGGAAGCGGUUUCACGACGAGAUGGGCAUUCGUCUCCAUUUUAGCACCGCUUUCCAUCCUCAGACGGACGGACAUAGCGAGAGAACGAUUCAGACUAUCGAGGACAUGCUGCGGGCAUGUGUUCUAGACUUCGGUGGCAGUUGGGAUACGUAUCUUCCGUUAACGGAAUUUUCGUAUAACAACAGUUACCACACGAGUAUCGAUCGACCUCCUUUCGAAAUGCUCUAUGGGAGGAAGUGUAGGACCCCGAUUUGUUGGGGCGAGGUCGGUCAACGAGUUAUUGGAAGCACCGAGGUGGUGCUCAAGAUGACAUAGUUGAUCCAGCAGGUUCGUGGCAGACGACAGACUACGCAGAGUCGGCAGAAGAGUUACGCCGAUAGGAGGCGUUCAGAUUGGGAGUUCCAGGUGGGCGAGUUGGUCCUCCUGAAGGUAUCACCUUGGAAGGGUGUUAUUAGGUUUCGGAAGAGGGGCAAGCUAGGCCCCAGGUUUAUUGGUCCUUUUAGGGUUUUGGCCCGGGUGGGUCGGGUUGCUUAUCGAUUGGAUCUUCCGUCAGAGCUUAGCUAGAUCCACAACACUUUCCAUGUUUCUUAGUUGAGGAAGUGUUUGGUGGACGAGUUGGAAAUAGUGCCCAUUGAGGAUAUUCAGGUUGAUAGCAGCCUGAAAUAUGUCGAGAGGCCAGUUGCGAUCUUGGAUCGGAAGGUGAAGACCUUGAGGAACAAGGUGAUUCAGUUAGUGCAGGUGCAGUGGCAGCACCGGAAGGGUUCAGAGUGGAUGUGGGAGUCCGAGGAGGAGAUGCGGGGGCAUUACCCAGAUUCAGCGGCAGCAGACUUCGAGGACGAAGUCUGAGACAAGUGGGGGAAGUCGGGGACGGUUGUAACACCCCAAUUCCGGUAUGAUAUUUAUAUAUUUAUUUUCUUCAAGUUUUAGGGGGGACUCGAUGAGUCAGUAGUUGGACUCGUCGAGUAGAGUCGGGAUUUCGAGCACGUUUAAGUUGGCGACUCGACGAGUCCAUAUUCCGGACUCGGCGAGUCUGCCAGUCUGGAUGAAACCCUAAUUUCAAGGGUUUGCACGCUAUUUAAACAACUUUUGGGGCCUCUAGUCAGCCCCCAUCACCCCUCAGAGCAUCAUUCUCGAAACCCUAGAGCCCUCUUUGCAUUUUUGUGUGAUUUUGGUGUGUUUCUUUGAAGAUCUUGAGAGAAAAAGGAAGGUAGAUGAAGACGAGAAGAAGGAGAUCCUAGAUCCUUGAGGAAUUUCAGAAGAUAGUAAGGUAUAUCUUGGCCCUUUUCUGUUUCUAAGCUUAAAUCCCCUUUUUGAAGCCAUUAAAGCUAUUCUUGAACCAUUUAUUGGCUUAGUAGUAGCAUAGAGGACUCAUGGAGUUGAUUAGCCUUCGGAUCUAGCUAGGUUUGAGUUCCAGAAGCUUAGAUCUAGCACCUUUAAGGAGCCAUUUUGCAUGAAAGAUCUAGAUCUACUCUUAUAGUGUGCUUUGAACCCUAAAACCUUCAUUUGAUGUUAUUUACACAUAAAGUUGGAAACUUUAUGUGUUAAUCAAGUCCCAAGAACCCAUAUCUAUGAAUGGAAUGGACUGGUUUCAUGCAGAAUCGAGUAUAUAGUUUUUGCAUGUAUACGACUCGGCGAGUCGUUCUUCAGACUCGGUGAGUCGAGUCGCGAGUCCUCUGUUUUCCCCUUUUCGAGUUAUGCCGAGUGGAACCAGUGAGUGAGAGAUGGACUCGGUGAGCUAGAGGGUUAGACUCAUUCGUGGAAGAACAUGGCGAGUCAAUGCCCUGACUCGGCGAGUCCAAGGCAAUCUUCAUGCCUCAAGAACAGACUUGACGAGUUGUUCAUACAACUCGGCGAGUCACAGCUAGAGUGUUCAUCUGAUGAAGGAGAACUCGACGAGUUGUUCAUACAACUCGGUGAGUCGAAUGUAGAUUGUCAGAGUGUUAGUAACAAAGAGGAACUCGCCGAGUUUGUGCCAAAACUCGACUAGUAGUAGCGAGUAGAAGCAAGAAAGUAAAAUUAAGGACUCAACGAGUUGGUGACCCAACUCGACGAUUCAGGUCAACUGAAUGUUGACUUUGACCGUUAGGUUGACUUGGAUCAGGGGUAAGAGAGUCAUUUUACCCUCAGUAUUAUUAUUAGUAUUUGAUUCAUGGUACUUAUGGAAACUGUAGUUGGGGUGAAACCGGAGCCGCAACAGACAGAUUUCGGAGCAAUUCUUUCAGCAACUAGGCUACAAGGUGAGUUUCCUUCCCGUAGGAACGGGUCUAUGGCCACAAUGCCGGCCCGUUUAGUUAGCAAUAGUUUCGGACCUCGGUCUGAUGCAGUAGUUAGGGUGCUUGAUGUCUUUGUGACUCAAGCAUGUUUUGUGUUAUGUGUUCAGGACUCCGUUCCGAUGCAGUAUGCAGUAUAUGUAUUCAUGUUAGUUGAUAUGUUUAUGCUAUGUUAUGUUCAGUCAGUUUCGGACUUCGGUCCGAUGCAGGGGACAAGAUCCCAAUCAGUUCUGGACUUCGGUCCGAUACAGUUAGUUUCGGGAUUCGGUCCGAUGCAGAGGGCAAGGCCGUGGUUAGUUCCGGACUCCAGUCCGAUGCAGUUUCCAGACUACGGUCCGAUGCAGUUUCCGAACUACGGUCCGAUGCAGAGGGCAAGGCCCUGGUUAGUUUCCGGGCUUCAGUCCGAUGCAGUGGGCAAGGCCCAGUAGAUGCUUUAUAUGUUAUUGUAUGGUAUGUGGUAGUUUGGGGGAACUCACUAAGCUUUGUGCUUAUAGUUUCAGUUUUGGUUUCAGGUACUUCCGCAAGUAAAGGGAAGAGCUCGGGAUGAUGGCAUCGCACACACCACAACUUCAAUCUUUUUCCUGGGAUUUUGUUUUGAUUCAUAGUUUGAUUUGGCACAAAUGUUCAUGACAUUUUAUUAUGGGUUGAGAUAUUUGACACAUGGUUUUAUGAUGGACGAUCAGUAUAUGGUUUUUAUUAUCAUUAAAACAAAUAUUUUUGUUGGGUCGUAUUUUUGGAUGUUACACAUGGGGUGGUCCCCAUUUAUCACUCUACAAGUGUUAUCAUCUCAUCGUUACAUCAAUACUAUUUCUCCACCACACACCUAAGAAAUAGUCACCGUUUCACAUCACCUUCCCUCAUUUGUAUUCUAUGUAAUAUAUUUUGUAAAUAUAAGACACACACCGAGAGAUGGGGAGAGAAGAAUAAAGAGAUAUAUGAAGAGAAAUGUUAUCAAUCGUGGUUCGAACCACGGGCAACCACGGCCACGCACCCUUUGGGUGGUAUUUGUAUGGAUAACUCAUAAUGACAUCGACAACAACUAUCCUAAACUUUAGGAAUGUCAAUUCUCAACUCGAUAUGCAACACAUCAUGAACCUGACACAAAAGUAAAUGUGGUUGGUUUGAGAUUUGUGAUCUGGCAACUUGUCAACCCACCAACCCGCCAGAUAAACGGGUCGUGUUCAGGUUAUUAAUUGGGUUUAAGGGUAUUACCGUUUUAAAUCAAGCUCCGUAGAGGUGGUUCACCAUAUAAUACAAUAAAUUUAUAUUAUGCGACAACACCUAUCAACCUAUGCGUAUUGUGUGCCCUAAAUCAACUAGUCCUCACUAUUACUUAAAUAAUGAUAUGGUUCAUGUACGAGUAGAUGCAUUCUGAGGUGCCAACCCGAACCCGACACGAUUGCCACCCUUACUAAACCUUUAACUUCCAUUAUUUUCAUUUUAUUUAGGGAAAAUGUCAUUUUAUCCCAAUCAAUUUUUGUCAUUUGUUUCUAUUGGAUUAUUGUAUAAGUCCGUAACCAUAUUUGGUAAGUAUUUGACCCGGUUGUGCAUGGUCCUUUUGGGUUGCCUUCACCAAACCAACUUGACUGGAAAAAUGAUAGAAAAAGAGGUUAUUAUGGUUUAUUAAUAUAUUAUAAGAAUAAUAUAUUAAAAGAGAAAUCAUAUUUAUUUAGUUGACAUUGGUCAAGAAUUAAUUAAGAAUUAAUUUUGUGAGUAAAAGAAGUUAACUAAACUAAGGGCGCUGAAUUGUAAUUAUGUGAUAGUUACAAAAUAGGGCAAUGGAUGCCCUAUGAAUAAGGUGGAUGAAUUCAAGGGGAUAAGGCCCUAGAAUUCAUCCAUGAUAAGGCUUCUGGACUUAUCUUAUGGGCUGCUUGGUGGGCAAGCAACCAGAUAAGGAUAAGGACUGAAACCCUAAUCCCUACACUUAUAUAAGGACCCCUUAGCUUAGGAAAAUCGGCCACUUGAUCCUAGAAUCUCCAAGAGCUGAUUUUAUACCUCUCCUCUCUCUCUCUCUCUCUCUCUCUCUCUCUCUCUCUCUCUCUUUCCUAUCUAUUUGUUUUUGGUGUUUGUGAGCCAUUAGAGGUACUACACUUGUGCUACUUGCGUUCAAAGACAAGAAGAUUGAAGACUUGAGUUGUUAUUACAAUAUAACAACAAGAGGUAUGUAAUCCCUUCUACUAUCUAUAUUUCUAAAUAUAUAGGAGCAUGCUAGGGUUCUUCUUGUGUUCAUAAUGUUGUGUAUCUAAUAGUCAAAACAUAGAUCCAAAAUCCAGGGUUGCACGCACACAAAGGAUUGUUUGUAUAAAACCCACUAGUGGUAUUAGAGCUUAUGGUUUUUGUUUUCAAUUAGAGUUAUACAAUUGUAUGAAUUUGACACUUUAGGGUUUAUGGCCAAUAAACCCUAGGAGGCAAGGAAUUGGAAAUUAGGGUUCUUGAACCCUGGUUUUCGAAAAUUGAUAAGGGUUUUUCAAACCCUUUUCUUAGCCACCAAGAUUUCGAAAUCUAGGGUUUGCAAACCCUAGGGUUUUCGAAAUAUGCCUCCUCCCAAAGAUAAGUUCCUAAAUUUUAGGGAUUUAGAUAAUCCCAUAUCUUGUAAUUAUCUUCUAAUGGUUUAAAUAUGGUAAUUAAAUAUUUUGAAUUAUCUCAUCCCAUAUUUUUUCGAAUUCUAGGGGAUUUAAGGGAUUAGGAUAAAUUAAAUUAUUUAGUUUAAAAGAUAAUCCUUAUAGAUUUGAUAAUUAAAAUUAAUUGUUUAAUUUUAGGAUAAUUAUUAAAUCAAGAGUUUUAAUAUUUAAAAUUUUAAAUUUAAAAGUCUUAAAUUUCGAAAAAAUUUUAAAAUUGAAAUUAAAACCCUAGUAUUUUGAAAUGUUUAAAAUACACCCUAUACUAUUAUAUUAUUACUAGAUUAAUAUAUAUAUAUAUAUAUANACUAAAAUGCUAGUCUUACCGUUAGUAGGCCUCAUUCACGAAACCAAUUUAUAAGGGGGGUAUAAGGUUAUGACCUAUAAAAUGGCCAUUUAAUGGGUGUCCACUAUCACCCACCGCUUCCUUGAUUGGUGGAGGGUCGUUAGCCGAACGGGUUGGAUAGGGCAACCCCUUCUCAUUAAUAAGUAAAAUGAAUCUAUAUAAAGUAACUAAAUGUUUUUACAAAAUUCCCAAUCUUAGUUACUUUAGGAAGAGUGAGUUGAUGCAAUCCCAUGAAAUUACACUUUGUACCCUUGCUAAGAAGCUAUUGGAGCGUGUCUGGUUAACCUACACACUAAUUGGUUCUAAGCAAAGGUGGCAAAGGGUGACUCAUUGUUUGUCAUAGUUCGAUGGAGUGUGUGUGGUUAACCGACACAUCGAAUAGGUGAGUGUAACAAUGAGAGUGCCAUGUGCAUUUGCAUGGUUAUUCACACCCGCUUUGUGAUCCUCGACAUCCUAGACACAAACUAGAGGGGCAUAUCGAGAUUUAAACAUGCCAUUGAAAAGUUCAAAGAAUCUCAAAGGAAUCUAGUAAUUUUCAAUACAUUUAAAACUUAAGCCUUUUAUGUUUUUCAUGGUGGAGAAUUAGUGAAUCGUCAUUCACUUACCUUCAAAUUAUUUGCAUGUUAGAUUACGACAUCCAUUUUCUAAUGUGUAAAUAAUAUUGUUGGAUCCUAGCCAUAAUUUCUCAUUUUGGGUGUUUAAUUAGGGAUUCAUUUCUAAUCAACUUUGUUCUUUUCUAUUUCAGAUGUCGAACUCAAACAACAACAAUGCUUCCGGCUGGAACUCCUCCGGCUUGUUCUCACUCAUGAAUUUGUGUGGCAGAGUGAUCUUUGUGUUGGUUUUUGAGCAUUUUAACACUCCUAAGUGUAAAUGCAACCCUAAAUAGCUUGGAUCUAUGAUUUCUCUAUUAUACAUAAAAAUAUGAACUUUCCAAGGUAUUCAUCCUAACUAGCAUAAUAACAUUGCUUUAUAUGAAUAUAUUAAGUUAGAAUUACAUACCUCUUUGAUGUAGAUUGUCUUCAUGAAGCUUGAGUGCCUAGUGCCCCAAGUGUGACACCUCAAAUGGUUCACACAACACCAAAUACACAUGGAAUGACUUGAGAGAAAUUGGAACACUUCAUAAAAUCGGCUAGCCCUUUCUAUCAUCCAUAGUGGCCGAUUUUUCCCAAGAGUAUGAUCUUUAUAUAGUGUCAUAAUUAGGGUAAACCCUAAUUAUCAUGGCUUUUCAUUUCCUUAGAUCCAUGGGUUCAAAUACACCAUGGAGCAUCCUAUGGGUUUUAGCCCAACUUGAUAAUCCAUGGAGUCUUAGCCCAUUAUACAAGUAUGGAUGAUUUACACAAUCAACCCAUAUAUUUAAUUCGUCUUCUUUUGAUCACUUAAUUAAUCCUAGAUUAAUUCUUUAUCAAUACUAAUUAAAUAAUCUUAUUAAUAUAUUAGAACUUAUAAUAUAUUAAUAACCUUAAGUGUUAUUUCUCUCAUUUUAGUAUAUCCAAAUGCAUGAUGCCAUGCAACACAAAUGGACCAUGCCGGCUCGGGUCAAGCCUUACCAACUAUAUUUAUGGACUUAGACAUUAAUCCAAUAGUCUCCCACUUGGAUAAGUCUAAAACUAUUAUUGCAUAUGACUUCAAGAACCGACUGGCAAUCGUAGCUCUCAAAAGCUUCUGUCGAACUCUGACCUUGCCAAUGAUGUCUGACCUUUGUCAAUGAGACAUGAGACAUGGAUUAUAAUCGUUCUCUUUAUCCAUUAGUUGUUUCCCGAUUUCCGAUUUAUGACGACUGACUAAUUGAACAAAUCAAAUCAGUCCUGGCCUGGCCGAGCACUUACAUUUGUCAUCACCAAAUCAUCGAGGGGCCCACAGAUAUCGCUUUUAUCCCGAAGGUAAAAGGAAUGGAUAAACUUCGACUCAUAUGGCUUGUUCUACUACUUGUUGAAUCAUACACAAAGGCACGUUUUAUAACAUCGAGUUACCAAUGCGUUUUCGUGCAAUCAAUGUAUAACCAACUCAUAGUAACAACUCAUAUCUCUAGGUUUGAAGAAUAUAAGAUAUUAUCGUCUCAUGAUCACUCGUGAUAAAAUCCAUGAAGUGAUUCCAAUGAGCGCGGGUUGAAUCCAAUACUCAGAACUUAUGAGCACUCAUGAUUGUUGUAGCCUUGUCCAAGCUUGGACGUCUACAAGCCAACCAAUGACAGUCUUGAUUCAUAUUUACUUCCAACAUAUGACCGACUGUGGAUAGUUUGAAUAACUUAGUCAUUCAGGAAGAACAACCUAGUUAUUCUGGAAGUCAAAACAUGCAAAAUAAAACACAUUAAUAAUUGAAUCCAAUAUGGUCUCAGAACUUAUGAAUAUAAAUAAAACACCUUUUAUUUAUCACCAUAUGAUUCCACAUUAUUCAUUGUAUACUGUUUCAGCUAUCAACUUUAUUCUUGAAUUUAAAUAGUUGUCCCAUGCUCCAAGCAUGUACACUAUGUUUUUUAAACACUAGUCAUGCCACACACCAAGUAUGCAUAUUAUGUUUGUCUAUGAUCUUUACUUUGCGAAAUAGACCAAUUGAAUAUAACCCCAAUGAUUCUCAUUUCACAGUCCGAAAUCCUUACUGCAAAUGCAAGAAUUCCAAAUUCCAACCAUUUACUGAAAUUUGUUAGAUUCUAAACUUAUAUGUGUUGAUCCUUUUGUAAUGAUUAUGCACAAAGUCACAAGGACUUGACAACAAACAUUACAGAGCAUUCCAAAGGAGAUCAACUCCUUGGAAACAUCUUUCUUGCAUUAAGUUUCCUUAAUCUUACACAGAUUGAAAAUUCUAACUUUGAAACAUUUCCAGAUUCCAUUUUGACUAUCACUUCUGAACAAGAGUUGCCUCCUUACAGAUUAUGUCAAUAUGGUCCUUCCAGAAUUAUCACUAUACUUCCAACUGUCCUUGAGCAACCAAUCUUUGGUAAACCUUAGAUUGUCCUCAACAAUUUCUUAAUCCUAUUAGUCAUAUCCAAUUCUAGACCUUUUCCCUUCUUAAUGCCCCAGGCAUUUGGAAAAUUUUAGAAAGGAUGAAUAUAACACAUGUAAUUGAUACUAUAUCAGAAGCAUAUGGGACACAAUUCAUGAUAUCUCACAUAAAGACUAAACCCUUCUUUUGCUAUAAUAUUUCCAUUUCAAUUUGCCAAGUUCUCAUAAUUCAGAUUAUGAAAAGGGAUGCCGUAAUCAUAAUCGAAUUUUAGAACGCAAAUAAUGGACCCAUAUACAGAAUUUCCUUAUGUUGAGCCAUUCCAACAUGAAAUUCAUAUAUAUCCUUGACUAAAUGAUUAAAACCUCACGAUCUAAGCUUAUAGAUUUGAGAUGAAGCAUAAUUUCCUCUCCCUUAAUUAUAGCAAAACAACUUUUUCCCAAUUGAAACUUUUGUUUUCUAUAAUUAACAUUGCUAACUUGCAAUACUUAUCAUAAUUAUCAUGCUCCCACUAACAUGAUGAUUAUUAGCAUAACACUUAUGCUCCCACUAGCUUUGACAUGUACUCAAAAAUCAGCUGAACUUCUAGAAAAACAAUACUUUAUUAACUUUCUUACCACAGUUUAGAUUUCUAAUACUAGAUUGCUUUGAUAAAACUUUAUCAAAAUCAUACACCUUUUCUUAGAUAGCUCACAGGUGUGUCUAAACAAUUUCAGAACUAUGAAAAGGGAUGUUGUAAUCAUAGUCUCAAUUGUUUAGACCUUUGCCACUUCUCACAAGUCCAUGUUAGUGUGCCGGUUAACCACACAGCUCCACUAACGACAUUGAGAAUGCAAAUAUCACACUUGCUACGUAGCUAAAAUCUACUUAGUGAAAGUGUUUCCUCACCAUCAUUUUCAUGAAUUAGAGAGAAACCUUAUGACACUUAGAUUUAAUAGUGUAUGUGUUCUUAUCCACGUGAAUUUUCAAAACCAUAAUCACAAGACAAGGAUAAUGACACAUUCAAACUUAUAUGGACUGAACUCAAUCUUAAUUUCUUGCCAUCUGGCAGCCCAAGGGCCUGCCAUUGCUUCCAAGUUGUUGUGCAACCAAUUGAGAACUCUAAGAACUCAUAUGCAAAGCCAACUUUAACUGGAAUGGGCACAUUAAUAAAUUAUGUCAACACGAUAGGUUAUAAACCUCACGUCGUGUGCUAGUGAAGAACUUCAGGUUUUAUUCUUGAUUAGUUCUUAAGACUUUCAAGACCUUUAAGACUCCCACUGUCCUCUUGACAUAUAAGACUUCCUUUGUUGGUCUUUGUGGAUUCUAAUCAGAUAUUCAAGAGAUAGUGUGGAUUCUAAUCAAGACAAACACUUCACACAAUUGGCCUUAGUUGGUCUUUGUUUUAUCCAAAACAUCACAACUUACCAAUUUCAAAUGUACAAGAGUAGAAACUUUUACUCUUACAUUUGACAAGUGUUUUAAACCUUCUUUAAGACAUGUCACUCAAGUUACAAUCUUGGAGUAUGACUCUAAGACUUGUUUUGGAAUGACAUAUGACUCAUCUUCUUGAUUUAACCAUUUCAACAAUUCAUAGCUCCUCUUCUUAGCUAUCAGAAUGCACUUAGAGGAUGAAUUGUGAUAACGUCUCUUAAUCAUUAAGAUGAUCAUAUAACAUGAUACUAAAGUACUCUCCCAUCUUUUCAGAUUUGAGAAACUUUUAUCCUUCUGCCUAAUUUGAUUCUUCUUAUUCGCUCUGCCAUACAUUGGAACCUUUUCCAAUGUCUCAGAAUUACACUUAAGCUUGUAAGUAUAACCAUAUUUACUAAGCUUUAGUAAAUUAUGACGAAUAGUCUUAUCGAUCUUUUGUGGUGGACUUAGCCAGUGCACAAGAAUGUGUACAUGAUCCCUUAGUCCUUCACUUGACUCACAUAUACAUGUGAACAAGGAACUAGUCUUAAUUUUCCAAAAAUGAAAAAUUCUCAUUCAUCAUGCUAUACAACUUGCAUGAUUCCUAGUUUCGGUCCAACUGAAACUUGAGUGAUGAGGAUCUUUCCUUAUUUGGUAAAUUUAGACAUUACCACAAAUGAAAGAAUCAAUUUCAUAUUUCCACUUUUGCUAUUAAUGGAAUCCUAUAAGCAACAAUUUUUUUUCCUCAAAUGCCAUUGUAAGGAUAUUUUAAAAUAAAAAAUUUCCUUUUAUUUUUAAAACUUUGCAGAAAAACUUCUCCUUACAAUACAUAUGAAAACUUGUUGCUAUUUAUUCCUAAGCAAUAUCUCAUAACUCCUAAGAAGUAGCUCAAGAAUCCGAUCUUCAAACUAUGCGAUAGAAAUCCAUCUACGCGAUCAGAUUCAACAUAUUCUUUCCUUAAGUUCCUUCACUUUUUCUUUGAUUCUUAAAACAUCACCAAGUGACCCAAUCACAUCAUGUAUCAAGAAUCUCAGAAUAGAAACUUAGCAGAGUUAGAUAGUGGACUUUACCUGAAAUAGAUUCAACCUUAUUGACUUUAACACCCUUAGGUAAUAUUGGCAGCUUCGCAACCAAUGCCCCUUCCUUUGGCAAUUUAAUAUAUGGAUGUUGUGGUAAUGGAACAUGAGACUAUCACAGACUUAGCCUUUCUCUUUACCAUUUGGUCACCGAGUUAACUAUGGCCGAUCCCUUUCCAUUGGGAAGAAAGAGCUUUACUGGAUGUCCAAUGUCAUUAUUGUCAAUGUCCACAAGUUUUAGGAAGUUGAUCUUUGCAAAUAGUGUAACAGCCCGGAUUCCCAUGUAUUAUUUAUUCAUAUAUCUUUGGUGUUUUGUGAGGGGACUCGGCGAGUUGGAGCUCAAACUCGUCAAGUAGGAUCGCGGUUUUGGACGCGGCUUCGCGCCUGGACUCAGCGAGUCCGCGCUGUUUAAAGAAACCCUAAUUUCCCGGUCCUGAGCCCUAUUUAGAGGACCUUAUGGCCCUUCAUUGCGGCUACCUUCGACCUUGAGAGCACCAGAGCAGCUGAGAGUUCUUGUGAGUGAGAUAAGAGGCCAUUAUUCACCAAUUUUGUGUGUGUUUGCAAGAAAGGAACAGGAAGGUCAAGCUAGGAGAGUUGGGGAGCUCGGAUUUACUUCCAUUUCUACAGAAGAAACUAAUUGAGGUAUCAUUCAUAGCUUAUUCUCGUGUUUAGUUGUUAUGGCCAAAUCUACGGUUUCUUCAUGCCUUGUUUGCCUUGUAUUUGGAGUGUGAGAGGUCCCUUGGGGAAAUGGUACCUAGAUCUGGACCUUAGUGGGUCCAGAGAGUCCCUAAUGCCCUGCUUUAUGCCUUUCCUUUUGAGUUGGGGACUUAGGUUACCAUUUUAGAUGUCAUUUCAUCAAAAGAAGCCUUGUAUGCGUUGCAUGGUAGCCAAGGUGGUAACUUUACGUGAUGAAUGUCCUUGGGAGGGCUAGAUCUAUGAGUUGUUGGAGCGGAUCUGACCUCAGAAGCGAGAUUGAGUUGAUGCAUGGCAUGGACUCGACGAGUCCGAAGAACAGACUCAGCGAGUAGCAUGAAGAUUGUCCUUAACCACUCAGUGAGUGGUCUUGCCGAGUUAAGGGUUGACUUAGUGAGUCAGGGAGAGUUAGAGAGGAUUGACAGGUGGACUGAGUCGAUCUGGAACUCGCCAAGUUGUUCUUGAGACUCGGCGAGUUGAGUCGUGGUGGCCCCGCAAUUCAUGCCAGGUGGAACUCGUCGAGUUAGGGGUGUACUCGACGUGUCAGGAGAAGAUCCUAGGGAGUCAGUGAACACGUAUAGACUCGCUGAUUAGCUCUAGUGCACUCGUCGAGUCCGGUCAAAGUUGACCGUUGACCGUUGACCAGUGUUGACUUGAUAGGGGUAGUCAACCUUAGUGGUAAAAGUGUUAAUUAGAGAUAUAUGAUGUUAUAGGAGGAUUUUAGCUCGGAGGAUCGAGCACGAGUGAUUUCCGGGAUUCGCGAGUUAUCGAUAUAUACGAGGUGAUUCUUCUCACUAUACUUUACCUUGAGUAGGUAAUCAGAGUUAUGUGAUAGAGUAUUUGUAUGCUAUAUGUAUGUUAUGUGUUGUACUGCAUUAUUUCUAUGUGAUUUAUGUUGUGCAUGUUUAUAGAGUUGGAACCGGAAGGUUCCCAGAGUUAGAACCAGUGGGUUCACAGAGUAGGGUCUACGGACCCACAGAGUUAUAGCCUCGAGUGGCUAAUAUGUGUUAUGUGUGGUAUUUUGGGGAACUCACUAAGCUUUGUGCUUACAGUGUUAGUGUUGUUUGUUUCAGGUACUAGUGAUGACCGUGGGAAGGCGCCGGCUUGAUCUGUACACACGCAUGGGAUUUUUAUGAUAUGUGAUCUUGGGAUUUUGUAUGAUAUGGAUUGGAGUUUUAAACUUGAUGUUUUAUGAAAAUUAAAUGAAAAUGUUUUUAUAUUAUGCGAAAAAUUAUUUUGAAAUUCACGGUGUUACAAUUUGGUAUCAGAGCCUUGGUUUGAGGGAUUCGAGUACACCUUCGGGCGUAUUUGAACUCAAACUGAGGAUUUGAGAAGUAUUUUCAAAAAGAGUAAAAGAUUUUUGAAAAAACGCAGAGCAGAGUUGUGCGUACGAUCAGUCCGCGCCCGAACGGUGAUUUCCCAAAAUACCCUCAUGUUAUGUGAUAUUGAUAUUGAUAUGAUGUAUUCUCAUGCUAGAGUAGGCUAGGUACUCCUAUUAGGACUAGAGUGGCCUGAUUUGUGAUGCCUUAGCCUAGGAAGAGGUGAGCUGCUAUGAGAUGCUUGAGAGUGAGUAGGUAGCAGCGAGGGGCUUAUGAGAGAUCUAUUAGAGAGUGGCCUAUGCAUGAUAGAGUACUUGGAAUUUGGGAUCCGAAGAGGAGGACUUGGGGUGUAUUCUGAUACGGUGCGGACAGUAGUAUUGGGCCCGUACUACUGAAAGCACCGGAGCGGUGUACAGCCCAAGUAAGAAUCUUUGGAAUACCAAGGAUCAAGGAGGAAUGAGUUGUCGAGUGUGAGUAUGCUCGAAUGGAUUCUAAUUUAUCGUAUGUUGUAUUUCAGAGGUAGAUCAUGGUGAGGACACGUUUGAUGCCUGAGAGCAGUGAUACCAGUGAUGAGGAGAUCCGCCGGAUCAUCCAUGAGGAGGUGGCUGCGGCCAUCAGGGCAGAGAUACCAGAGAUGUUCGGGUCUAUUAAGACCACGCUGAUUGAGACCUUUGACGAGCGUUAUGCCGCUCUUUCUGAGGCUGCUGUUGCAGCGGCCACCGCAGCUAUUGCUGCCGCGAGGCCGCAAGGUGGUGAUGCGUUGCUGUUCCGGGAGUUCAGCAACACAAAACCACCAGAGUUUGAUGGGACCCAGGACCCGGUGGCAGCUAUGAGGUGGAUUUCUGACAUAGAGGGGUGUUUCUUCACUUGCUCAUCUCCUGAGCAUUUGAAGGUUCGGUUCGCGCUGAACCAGCUUCGCUUGGGAGCGAAGGACUGGUGGAAGUUUGUGACGGCGCAUUUUACGCCUGCUGAGCUUGCGGCAGUGACCUGGGAGAGGUUCACUGCCAUGUUCCGAGAUGAGUACGUUCCCCAGGUGGAGAGGGAGCGUUUGGCCCAGGAGUUUCUGACCCUCAAGCAGGGUACUGAGUCUGUUACGGCGAUUACCAGGAUGUUCCAUGAGAGGGCGAUGUUCUGCCCUGAGCACGUGUCCACGGAGCAGGCACGUAUGAGCCGAUAUUUGAGUAUCUUGAGGCGAGAUAUUCGGGAGUUCGCGGCGAACUCCUCAUACCAGACAUUUCCCGAGCUUCAGGAAAAUUCCCGGAAGAGGGAGAUUGAGCUAGAGACUCAGGCCAGGGAGGAGGCGGAGUCUCAGGGGAGGGGUCAGCGACCGGCACAGUCUCUGCCGGCAGCCAAGCAGGCCAAGCCCGCUGAUCCCAAACCAGGGAGCCAGAAAGGCCGCACUUGUGGGAAGUGUGGCAAGGGUCAUGAUGGAGUCUGUAGAGCGGGAUCUUGCUACAAGUGUGGCAAGUAUGGGGCACAUGGCCAAGUUCUACCCCAAGGGGUUCGCGGUGUGUUUUCACUGCAAUUAGAUCGGACACCGGAAGGCAUAGUGUCCGCAGUUGCGAGGAUCAUCUCAGGGAGCACCUCCGGGAUCUGCCCAUGCCGCAAUUAGAGCUACCGAGAGUCGGCCAGUGAAGGUCGAGACGCCGAGAGCGUGAGGGAGAGCUUUUCAGCUGACCGCGGAGGAGGUCCGCGCAGCGCCCGAUGUCGUGGCUGGUAUGUAUUCUUUCAUGUAUUUAUUUUGAUGUUGAGAUAUUAUGCUUAUGUUAUGUUAUGCGUAGGUACUUUUCUUGUGAAUUCUGUACCUGCCUUGGUGUUAUUUGACUCGGGUGCGAGUCGGUCUUUUGUAUCUUUGGCUUUUAGUCAGCAUAUCAGCGUUAGUCGUGAGGCGUUGAGUCGGCCUCUGAGAGUUUCCAUAGCUGAUGAGAGGGUGAUAUAUGCCACGGAGGUUCUCCGAGGGUGCGUAGUCGAGAUUUUCGGUGUUGAGUUCCCGAUUGAUCUGGUUCCUAUUGCGAUGGGUGAUGUCUGUGUCAUUGUGGGCAUGGACUGGUUGAGCAGAUUCGGUGCGGUUAUCGACUGCGAGCGACAGCUGGUGACCAUACGAGACCCUAGUGGGGGAGUUCUUUCGGUGUACGGCGAGGGUACACGUUCAGGAUCAGCGUUUUGUUNNNNNNNNNNNNNNNNNNNNNNNNNNNNNNNNNNNNNNNNNNNNNNNNNNNNNNNNNNNNNNNNNNNNNNNNNNNNNNNNNNNNNNNNNNNNNNNNNNNNNNNNNNNNNNNNNNNNNNNNNNNNNNNNNNNNNNNNNNNNNNNNNNNNNNNNNNNNNNNNNNNNNNNNNNNNNNNNNNNNNNNNNNNNNNNNNNNNNNNNNNNNNNNNNNNNNNNNNNNNNNNNNNNNNNNNNNNNNNNNNNNNNNNNNNNNNNNNNNNNNNNNNNNNNNNNNNNNNNNNNNNNNNNNNNNNNNNNNNNNNNNNNNNNNNNNNNNNNNNNNNNNNNNNNNNNNNNNNNNNNNNNNNNNNNNNNNNNNNNNNNNNNNNNNNNNNNNNNNNNNNNNNNNNNNNNNNNNNNNNNNNNNNNNNNNNNNNNNNNNNNNNNNNNNNNNNNNNNNNNNNNNNNNNNNNNNNNNNNNNNNNNNNNNNNNNNNNNNNNNNNNNNNNNNNNNNNNNNNNNNNNNNNNNNNNNNNNNNNNNNNNNNNNNNNNNNNNNNNNNNNNNNNNNNNNNNNNNNNNNNNNNNNNNNNNNNNNNNNNNNNNNNNNNNNNNNNNNNNNNNNNNNNNNNNNNNNNNNNNNNNNNNNNNNNNNNNNNNNNNNNNNNNNNNNNNNNNNNNNNNNNNNNNNNNNNNNNNNNNNNNNNNNNNNNNNNNNNNNNNNNNNNNNNNNNNNNNNNNNNNNNNNNNNNNNNNNNNNNNNNNNNNNNNNNNNNNNNNNNNNNNNNNNNNNNNNNNNNNNNNNNNNNNNNNNNNNNNNNNNNNNNNNNNNNNNNNNNNNNNNNNNNNNNNNNNNNNNNNNUGAGCCGCAGGGCGGAGAGCACCCCGCUGCGGGAUGUAUGUUUGAGAUUGACCGUGAUAGCUCCAGUGUUGGACGCCAUUCAUGGGGCACAGGCCGAGGCUGUGCAACCUGAGAUGCAGAAGAGGGAACGGGUUGUUGGUUUGGUUUCAGAGUUCGUUACUGAUGGUCGGGGGCUUAUGACAUUUCAGGGGCGUAUCUGGGUGCCGUUUGUAAGAGGGACGCGUACCAUUUUGAUGGAGAGGCUCAUCGGUCGAAAUUCUCGAUUCAUCUGGGGGCCACUAAGAUGUAUUUGGAUCUGAGAAAGGAGUAUUGGUGGCCCUGUAUGAAGAGGGAUGUCGCGUGGUAUGUUGAGAGGUGCUUGACCUGCCGUAGGGUUAAGGCCGAGCACCAGAGGCCGCAUGGUAAGUUGCAGCCAUUGGAGGUUCCCGAAUGGAAGUGGGAACAGAUCACUAUGGAUUUCAUCACCAAAUUGCCAAGGACUGCCAGAGGAGUUGAUGCAAUUUGGGUGAUUGUGGACAGAUUGACGAAGAGCGCUCACUUCCUUGCUAUCAGCGAGAGUUCUUCAGCAGAGAAAUUGGCGGAGGUGUAUGUGAGGGAAGUGGUAUCUCGGCAUGGGGUGCCGAUCUCGAUUGUUUCAGACCGUGAUGUGCGCUUCACUUCCAGAUUCUGGAAGAAGUUUCAUGAGGAGUUGGGUACUAGACUGCAUUUUAGUACCGCAUAUCAUCCCCAGACAGACGGUCAGAGUGAGCGGACGAUUCAGACGCUCGAGGAAAUGCUCCGGGCAUGUGUGUUGGAUUUCAGGGGUAGCUGGGAUGCAUAUUUGCCCUUGGCAGAGUUUUCCUACAACAACAGCCAUCAUUCGAGCAUUGGUAUGAUGCCCUUUGAACUGUUGUAUGGAAGGAGGUGUCGGACCCCCAUUUGUUGGGGAGAGGUUGGACAGCGGGUGAUGGGUAGUACAUAGAUCGUGCUUAAGACGACAAAGCAGAUCCAGCAGGUCAGACAGAGGUUGUUGACCGCUCAGAGCCGACAAAAGAGUUAUGCAGACAGACGCCGGUCCGAGCUUGAGUUUCAGGUCAGCGACCUUGUACUCCUGAAGGUCUCUCCUUGGAAAGGAGUGAUUCGAUUCAGGAAGAGGGGCAAGUUGGGGCCCCGAUAUAUUGGUCCAUUCCGAGUAAUCGCGAAGGUAGGCCGGGUAGCCUAUCGUUUGGAUUUGACCGCAGAGUUGGGGCAAAUUCACGACACUUUUCAUGUGUCGCAGCUGAGGAAGUGUAUAGCCGAUGAGUCGGCAGUGGGUCCAUUAGAGGAUAUUCAGGUGGAUGCGAGCCUGAAUUAUGCUGAGAGACCAGUGGCCAUCAGAGAUCGGAAAAUCAAGGUUCUGAGGAACAAGGAGGUACCCCUGGUUUUGGUUCAGUGGCAGCAUCGGAAGGGGUCCGAGAUGACCUGGGAGCCGGAGCGUAAGAUGCGUGAGCAGCAUCUGGAGUUAUUUGUAGAGCAAAACUUCGAGGGCAAAGUCUAGUUCUAGUGGGGGAGAAUUGUCACAGCCCAGAUUCCCAGGUAUUAUUUAUUCAUAUAUCUUUGGUGUUUUGUGAGGGGACUCGGCGAGUUGGAGCUCAAACUCGCCGAGUAGGAUUGCGGUUUUGGACUCGGGUUCGCGCCUAGACUCGGCGAGUCCGCGCUGUUUAAUGAAACCCUAAUUUCCCGGUCCUGAGCCCUAUUUAAAGGACCUUAUGGCCCUUCAGUGCAGCUACCUUCGACCUUGAGAGCACCAGAGCAGCUGAGAGUUCUUGUGAGUGAGAUAAGAGGCCAUUAUUCACCAAUUUUGUGUGUGUUUGCAAGAAAGGAAGACGAAGGUCAAGCUAGGAGAGUUGGAGAGCUUGGAUUUACUUCCAUUUCGACAGAAGAAGCUACUUGAGGUAUCAUUCAUAGCUUAUGCUCGUGUUUUGUUGUUAUGGCCAAAUCUAGGGUUUCUUCAUGCCUUGUUUGCCUUAUAUUUGGAGUGUGAGAGGUCCCUUGGGGAAAUGGUACCUAGAUCUGGACCUUAGUGGGUCCAGAGAGUCCUAAAUGCCUUGCUUUAUGCCUUUCCUUUUGAGUUGGGGACUUAGGUUACCAUUUUAGAUGUCAUUUCAUCAAAAGAAGCCUUGUAGGCAUUGCAUGGUAUCCAAGGUGGUAACUUUACGUGAUGAAUGUGCUUGGGAGGGCUAGAUCUAUGAGUUGUUGGAGCGGAUCAUACCUCAGAAGCGAGAUUGAGUUGAUGCAUAGCAUGGACUCGCCGAGUCCGAAGAACAGACUCGGCGAAUAGCAUGAAGAUUGUCCUUAACCACUCAGCGAGUGGUCUUGCCGAGUUAAGGGUUGACUCAGUGAGUCAGGGAGAGUUAGAGAGGGUUGACAGGUGGACUGAGUCGAGCUGGAACUCGCCGAGUUGUUCUUGAGACUCGGCGAGUUGAGUCGUGGUNCAACUCGUCGAGUUAGUGGUGUACUCGACGUGUCAGGAGAGGAUCCUAGGGAGUCAGUGAACACGUAUAGACUCGCCGAGCCCGGUCAAAGUUGACCGUUGACCGUUGACCAAUGUUGACUUGAUAGGGGUAGUCAACCUUAGUGGUAAAAGUGUUAAUUAGAGAUAUAUGAUGUUAUAGGAGGAUUUUAGCUCGGAGGAUCGACCACGAGUGAUUUCCAAGAUUCGCGACUUACCGAGAUAUACGAGGUGAGUCUUCUCACUAUACUUUACCUUGAGUAGGUAAUCAGAGUUAUGUGAUAGAGUAUUUGUAUGCUAUAUGUAUGUUAUGUGUUGUACUGCAUUAUUUAUGUGUGAUUUAUGAUGUGCAGGUUUAUAGAGUUGGAACCGGAAGGUUCCCAGAGUUAGAACCAGUAGGUUCAUAGAGUAGGGUCUACAGACCCACAGAGUUAUAGCCUCGAGUGGCUAAUAUGUGUUAUGUGUGGUAUGUUGGGGAACUCACUAAGCUUUGUGCUUACAGUGUUGGUGUUUAUUGUUUCAGGUACUAGUGAUGACCGUGGGAAGGCGCCGGCUUGAUCAGUACAAUCACAUGGGAUUUUUAUGAUAUGUGAUCUUGGGAUUUAUUGUAUGACAUUGAUUGGAGUUUCAAAUACUGAUGUUUUAUAAAAAUUAAAUGAAUAUGUUUUUAAAUUAUGCGAAAAAUUGUUUUGAAAUUAACGGCGUUACAAAUAGAUAAGAUCAUUAAGGGUCUUGUCAUAGUCUGUUUCAUAGGAGUCCCAAAGAAACUCACCAUGUGACUUAGAAAGUGAUUGAACCACCAACUUUCUCAAGACUUUGACACCCAACUCUCCCGGCUUGUUAAUAUGUGACUACAUCUCCAAGAUGUGACCACACAUAGACCUUUACUUGCCAAUAGGGCUUGAGUGACCUUAAACUUUUCAAGAACUUAUGGGUUAGGGAGAAUAAUUUGGAGGAGGUGAAAGAAGUAUGAUUUCCAAGGGACAUCAUCUUCAUUUAGGAAAGCUUGUUUCAAGAGAUUUGGGAAGAUCAUAUGUGUCUAAACCAGACAUCUUUUUGGGAGAUAUUCAAUAUAGUUGAUUUAAAGUCCUUAAUAUAACACCCAAUAUGAAAUAUUAACGCUAGGACCCAACACAAUACUUUUAUAACAUGGAAGAGGGAUGUCGUAAUCCAAGCUAUAAAAUAUUUGAAGGUAGGUGAAUGACGAUUCACCAAUUUCCACCAUGAAAAAACGAAAUAAAUUUAUUAGGUUUUUUAAUUGGAUUUGAAACUCCUAUAUCUUUUAAGAUUCAUUGAACUGUUCAAAUGGGUUGUUUCAAUCUCGAGUGUGCCCUUCAGGUUUUGUGACUAGGAUGCCGAGGAUCACAAAACAAGGUGCGAAGUAACCAUGAAAAUUACUUGGUACACUUAAGUGUUUACCCCUCAAUCGAUGUGCCGGUUAACCACACACGGUCCAUCGAUACUAUGAUAAACAUUAAGUUACCCUUUGCCUACCUUGUUAAAUACGAGUUAGUGUGUCGGUUAACCACACACGCUCCACUAACCGACUUAAACAAAGUGCAAAGUGUAAUUUCAUGGAUUAGCACCUUAUUCACAUUUUCCUAAGUAACUAAGAUUGGGUAUUUAUAAGAGUUUAGUUACUUAGUAUUUAUCAUUAANNNNNNNNNNNNNNNNNNNNNNNNNNNNNNNNNNNNNNNNNNNNNNNNNNNNNNNNNNUAUAUAUAUAUAUAUAUAUAAAUAUUAUUAGCAUAUAAUAUUAUAAAGUAUAAGGGUUGAAUUUUAACUUUUAAAGUUCUAAGGGCUAACUUGGAAUUAAAGUAUUCAUAAGUGAAAACUUUUCAAAUUCCAAAACUUGAGGGCAAGUUGUAAAGUACUUUCCCAUCUUUCAGAUUUGAGAAACUUUUGUCUUUCUGCCUAAAUUGAUUCUUCUUAUUCACUCUGCCAUACAUUGGAACCUUUUCCAAUGUCUCAGAAUUACACUUAAGCUUGUAAGUAUAACCAUAUUUACUGAGCUAUAGUAAAUUAUGACGAAUAGUCUUAUCGAUCUUUUGUGGUGGACUCUGACCAGUGCACAAGAAUGUGUACCCGAUCCCUUAGUCCUUCACUUGACUCACACAUCCNUAGUCUUAAUUUUCCAGUGCUUGAAAGUUCUCAUUCAUCAUACUAUACAACUUGCAUGAUUCCAAGUUUCGGUCGAAUUGAAAUUUGGGUGAUGAGAAACUUUCCUUGGUUGGUAAAUUAAGACACUACCACAAAUGAAAGAAUCAAAUUCAUAUUUCCACUCUUGGUCUUAACGGAAUCUUAUAAGCAACAAAAAUUUUCACAAUUGCCAUUGUAAGGAUAUUUUUAAAAUAAAUAAAAUCAAAAAUUUUCCUUUUAUUUUAAAAACUUUGCAGAAAAACUAUCCUUACAAUGUAAAAGCACAUGAAAACUUUGUAUUUAUCUAUUCCUAAGCAAUAUAUCAUAACUCCUAAGAAGUAGCUCAAGAAUCCGAUCUUGAAACUAUGCGAUAGAAAUCCAUCUACACGAUCAGAUUCAUCAUAUACUUUCUUUAAGUUUAUUCACUUUUCAUUGAUUCUUAAACCAUCAACAUGUGACCCAGUCUCAUCAUGUAUCAAGAAUCUUAGAAUAGAAACUUAGCAGAGUUAGAUAGUGAACUUUACCUGAAGUAGAGUCAAACUUAUUGACUUUAACAUAUUUAAGUAAAAUUGGCAGCUACGUAACUAAUGCCCCUUCCUUUGGAGAUAUAAACAUAUGAACCAUUUAGUAAUGGUAUGCAUGACUAUCACACACUUAGCUUUUCUCUUUACCGUUUGGUCAACCGAGUUGACUAUGGCCGAUCCUUUUACCAUUGGGAAGAGAAUGCUUUUCUGGAUUUCCUGUGUCACUNCCACAAAGUUUUAGGAAGUUGAUCUUAGCAAAUAGAUAACAUCAUUAAGGGUCUUGUCAUAUUCGGUUUCAUAGGUGUCUCAAAAGAACUCACUAUGUGACUUUGAAAGUAGUUGAGCCACAACUUUCUCAAGACUUUAACACCUAACUCUCUCGGCUUGUCAAUAUGUGACUACAUCUCCAAGAUGUGAUCACAAAUAGACCUUUACUUGCCAAUAGAGCUUGAGUGACCUUAAACUUUUCAAGAACUUGUGGGUUACGGAGAAUAAUUGGAGGAGGUGAAUGAAGUAUUAUUUCCUUGGGACAUAAUCUUCAUUUAGGAAAGCUUGUUUCAAGAGAUUUGGGAAGAUCAUAAAUGUCUAAACCAGACAUAUUUUGGGAGAUAUUCAAGAUAGUUGAUUUAAAGUCCUUAAUAUAACACCCAAUAUGAAAUAUUAAGGCUAGGACCCAACAAUACUUUUAUAACUUGGAAGAGGGAUGUCGUAAUCCAAGCUAUAAAAUAUUUGAAGGUAGGUGAAUGAAAAUUUCCACCAAGAUAAACGAAAUGUAUUAUUACGUUUUAAUUGGAUUUGAAACUCCUAGAUCUUUUGAGAUUCAUUGAACUUUUAAAUGGCAUGUUUCAAUAUCGAGUGUGCGCUUCAGGUUUUGUGACUGGGAUGUCGAGGAUCACAAAACAAGGUGUGAAGUAACCAUGAAAAUAUACUUGGUACCCUUAAUAUUUACACCUCAAUCGAUGUGCCGGUUAACCAGACACGCUCCACCGAUACUAUGAUAAAUAUUAAGUUACCCUUUACCUAGCUUGUUAAGUCCAGGUUAGUGUGCCGGUUAAGCACACACGCUCCACCAACCGACUUAAACAAAGUGCAAAGUGUAAUUUCAUGGAUUAGCACCUUAUUCACAUUUUCCUAAGUAACUAAGAUUGGGUAUUUAUAAAAGGUUUAGUUACUUAGUAUUUAUCAUUAAUACUUUUAAUGAAGGGAGAAUUCUAGUCCUGUCAAACCCGUUCGGCUAACGACCCUCCACCAGUCAAGCAAGCGGUGGGUGAGAGUGGACACCCAUUAAGUUGCCAUUUUAUAGGCAACAACCUUAUACCCACCUUAUAGACCGGCUUCGUGAAUGAGGCGUACUAGCGGUAAGACUGACUUUACUCUUAUACAUAUAUAUAUUAUUAACUUAUAAUAUUAUAAAGUAUAAGGGUUGAAUUUUAACUUUUAAAAUUCUAAGGGCUAACUUGGAAUUAAAGUAUUCAUAAGUGAAAACUUUUCAAAUUCCAAAACUUGAGGGCAAGUUUUGAAACUAUUCAAAACUAAUUAAUUCCAUAACUUAUGUGUUUAAAGUAGUUUUAAUUAAAAGACUCUUCAAGUUCCAUAACUUGAGGACAAGUUAUGGAAGACUUUAAACUAAUAAAAGAAUGUAACUUUUCUUUAUUUUGUAACUUAUGGAAUUAAUUAAGGUUACACAUUUUAUUACUUAAUGCAGUGACUCUUGAACCUCCAUAACUUGAGGACAAGACUCUUCAUUUUUUGUAACCAUUGCCAACUUUUAUGAGUUUUAUAAAACUUAAAUGUGACAUUUCAUGUAACUUGAGGACAAGUUACACAAACACAUUUUAGAAUUAUCUCUUAGAUUAAGAUGGAUUGAAAAACGCAUAAUCAAUUAACUUUUCUAUUAAUCUAAGCAACUCAUUAGAACAAGAUAAUUCAAAUCAAACUUUUUCAUGUAAUUAGUCUAAACCUUAAACUAAUACAAAAACUAAAUCUAUUGACAAUUAUCUUUGAAAUUGGAUUAGCAUGCACUACAAGAAAAAUCCAAAAUAACUACGGAAAAAUUCGAUGGAUUGAAAAACGCAUAAUCAAUUAACUUUUCUAUUAAUCUAAGCAACUCAUUAGAACAAGAUAAUUCAAAUCAAACUUUUUCAUGUAAUUAGUCUAAACCUUAAACUAAUACAAAAACUAAAUCUAUUGACAAUUAUCUUUGAAAUUGGAUUAGCAUGCACUACAAGAAAAAUCCAAAAUAACUACGGAAAAAUUCCGUAGCUAAAACAUGAUAUUCCAUAGUUAAGUGUGAUUAGAGCCAGAAUUUGCUACGGAACCCAUUUGUUGCAAAAAUCUUCAUUACUAAACUAUUGUUACGGAAUCCGUAGGACCUUCGCGGCGGAUUUUGCAACACACUUAUUCUGUAGUAAAAUAGCUAUAAACUAUAUUCGUAGCAGUAACGUAGCAAAUUAACUAUAAUUGUUGUCCGUAGCAAAUUACCUACGACCCGAUCUGUAGUUAAUCUGUCACAAAUUAACUACAAUUGUUUUCUGUAGCACAUCCGUAGCAAAUUACUUACGAUCCAUAGUUAGUCUGUCACAAAUUAACUACAAACCAUCCCCGUAGCUAAUUUCCAUAGCAAAUCCACUACGGGUAAUGUCAUAGCAAAUAUUCCAUAGUGAAUCUACUACGAUCUAAUUAUGUAACAGAUAGUUGGUAGUAGAUUUCAUGGUAGUGGUUUCAAGCUUUUCUUCCAUUAUUCACAUUUUUGUUACAAUUUACAAUAACAUCAAAUUAACAUACACACAAAAUAAUACACACACAGCAUCAAACACACCCUCCAUGGCGGUCCUUGAGGCGGCAGCCACCAUGGCCGACGGCCAUGGUGGUUCUUCCUUUGCUUUUCUUCGGCAGCAGUAAAUCCGAGACUCCUACCAACUAGUGAGUCACGACUGAACACACACACACAUACCCAUGAUCUUGAAGCAGCAACACACAAAAUACUCACAGAGACCUUGACUUCUUGCUUGGAAAAUAACCCAUCACCACCACAGGUGGGUGGCGACGGCAGCAGCUCAAGAAACGGUAGCAGCGACGCUACACCAGAACGAGAACGGGGAUAGAGAGGAAUGACACAGUUGGGGCUGAUUCCCUAUUGACAGCAGCAACGGUACCGGUCUCGCCUCCCUGCUUCCGGUGACCCAAGAGAAACCCUCGCUGCUCACGACUUCAUUGGCGGCAGGAGGAUAAAUGGCAGCUUCAAAUUGACAGCAACGACGGCAAGGAGCGGAGAAGAGAGAGAGAAGAAGAAGAAGAAGAACACGGCAUCGACAACUUCUCUCUCGGGAAUAUCCUUCGACCAAACACGACAACAGAACCGACAUGGGUUGCGGUGGUGAUGCUUGACGACUCCAGCAAUAGCGGUGGAAGGUAACUUGACAGAGAAGGGGAGGGGGUAGCGGCGCUGAAGGUGAAGGAGGGUGAAGGCAAGGUUGGUGGCUGUUCAUAGCUCGGUUUAGGGUUCACGGGAUGAUGGGUUUUAUAUCUCGAGUCCCAUACCAUCUAUCCCAUAUUGACAAGAUUAACCCCUCCUUCCCCAUAUUCUUUCAAAACUAACUCAUAAUUUACCUUUCUAACCCUGCUCUCUAUAAUUCUUUUCAAAUCAGGCCCGAACUUACACUUUAGCCCCUACUCCAUAAAAUCCUUUCAAUAUAAGUCCAAUGUUAUUCUUUAACCUUCGAAACUCAUAUUCCAAUAAUUAUUAAUUGAUUUUGGACUUAAAAAUAUACAACAAUACUAGGAUUACUUCCCGGGACUCCUGCUUUAUAUUUAAUUACUCCAUGAAAAUCAGGAUGUUUCAAAACAAACGGGAUGUGACCAGCCCCUACCUUAAAAUUGCAAUUUUUAAUUAAGUAAUUAGUAAUUGCAAUUCGAGUUUCGGUUUUAAGAGUUUAAACUUUACUUGAGAAACCUCCAAACACUAAAAAUUGCAUAUUGGAAACUUCUAUUGUAUAAUAUUUAUGGUUUUUAUAUUAUAGUAUAAUAGCUACGACCUAUGAUCUUGUAGCAAAUUCUGUAGCGACAUAGCUACGGAUUUUGACUUCGUAACAAAUGUCGUAGCAAGCUAGCUACAAACUUCGAUAUGGUAGCAAAUUUUAUAGCAAAAUAGCUACAAAUUUUAAUUUCGUAACAAUUUCUGUAGAAAAAUAAAUACAAACUUUAAUCUGUAGCAACCGUUGUAGCAAAAUACCUAUGCCUUUUAAUUUUGUAGCAAAUUUCGUAGCAUGAUAACUACGGACUCCGAUUGCGUAGCAAAACUCUGUAGUUAUUAAAAUAUUAGCUAUUGAAUGCAAUUCCGUAGCUAAUUCCGUAGCAAAUAUACCUACGUCUAACUAGUUCGUAGUAUAUUCCAUAUUAGAAUAGCUACGGUUUUCAAUUCUGUAGCAACAUUUCGUAGUUAUUCAAAUGUUACCUACGGAAUGUAAUUCUGUAGCAAGUUCCAUAGCAAAAUAGCUACGAGAAGCCAUUCCGUAGCAUAAUCCGUAGCAGAAUAACUACGGAUUUUACCUUUGUAGCAAAUUUCCGUAGUUAUUUCGACUUUUUCUUGUAGUGAUGAACAUUACCACAUCAAAAACAAGUUUAUAAGUCCAAAAGCAUCUUAGGGUAAUGUUCCUAGUCCAAUUCCAGCCAAAAAGUCAAAAGUAUGUUGUCUGGGGGUCCAACUCGUCGAGUGCAUGAACCAACUCAACGAUUUGGAUCGUUUUGACCACUUUUUAGGCAUGGAAUCGACGAGUCCGCUUGUCCAGACAGCACAAAACUUCGUUUUUUAAGCAGUUUUCGCAAGUAUAACAGGAAAACAAGCCUAGGCUCUGAUACCACUGUUGGGUUUUGAGCAUUUUAACACUCCUAAGUGUACAUGCAACCCUAAAUACCUUGGAUCUAUUUUUUCUCUAUUAUACAUACAAAUAUGAACUUUCCAAGGUAUUCAUCCUAACUAGCAUAAUAACAUUGCUUCAUAUGAAUAUAUUAAGUUAGAAUUACAUACCUCUUUGAUGUAGAUUGUCUUCAUGAAGCCUGAGUGCCUAGUGCCCCAAGUGUGACACCUCAAAUGGUUCACACAAUACCAAAUACACAUGGAAUGACUUGAGAGAAAUUGGAACACUUCAUAAAAUCGGCUAGCCCUUUUUAUCAUCCAUAGUGGCCGAUUUUUCCCAAGAGUAUGAUCUUUAUAUAAUGUCAUAAUUAGGGUAAACCCUAAUUAUCAUGGCUUUCCAUUUCCUUGGAUCCAUGGGUUCAAAUACACCAUGGAGCAUCCAUGAAGCAUCCUAUGGGUUUUAGCCCAACUUGAUAAUCCAUGGAGUCUUAGCCCACUAUACAAGUAUGGAUGAUUUAACAAUCAGCCCAUAUAUUUAAUUAGUCUUCUUUUGAUCACUUAAUUAAUCCUAGAUUAAUUCUUGAUCAAUACUAAUUAAAUAAUCUUCUUAAUAUAUUAGAACUUAUAAAAUAUUAAUAACCUUAAGUGUUAUUUUUCUCAUUUUAGUCUAUCCAAAUGCAUGAUGCCAUGCAACCCAAAUGGACCAUGUCUGGUCGGGUCAAGUCUUACCAAUUAUAGUUAUGGACUUAGACAUUAAUCCAACACUUUGAUGGUUCCAAUUUCAAUGAUUGGAUCCAUAACAUCUGAAUGGUCACUCGCUACGAGGACAAAGAGUAUGUCCUCGAUAAGGAGCUGAAGGUGGUAAACAUCAACACUGCUACUCCCAAAGAAAUCACUGCCUUUGAGGCCCAUGAGCGUGAUGCCACGAAAGUCCAUUGCAUCAUGCUAGCGACCAUGAUUAUUGUACUGCAAAAGUCUUAUUAGGAAUAAUAUCCCUAGGAGAUGCAUCAAGACUUGGUGGACCAUUACCACCAAAGUGCGAGGCAAGAAAGGUAUGAGAUCAUCACUUCGAUGAUCACUGCCAAAAUGGGUAGUGGAGAGUCCCUUACCACUCAUCUGCAAAAGAUGCAGAGAUAUGUUGAUCACCUGCUGAAGUUGAAUGUUAACUUCGAUGAAGAAGGAAGAGGUCACCUUGAGCAAGCUCCAAGGCUUAUUGAGGACUACUGAGAGAAAUCUCAAGGACAUGUCUGUUGCAUCAACUCCCACUCCAACCGCCACGCCUGUCUUGGCAAUAGGUCAGGGGAAGGGCAAGAAGAGGAAGGAUCCCUCAAAGAGCUACCAUAAGGGAAAGUACCAAGAUGACACCUCUUCUAGUGGAACCAAAGUUGGUUCUGCUAAGCCCAACUCCAACCCGAAGGAGGUAGAGUGCCACCACUGCCAUAAGAUAAGGCAUUGGAAGAGAAGCUUCCCAGAAUACCCGAAAGCCAUCAAGGAGGGAAAGAUGAAGCCAUCUUUCGCAGGUAUUUACAUAGUUAAAUCUAAUGAUUCAUCGCAUUCUAUUUCUUGGGUUCUUGAUACAAGAUGUGGUUUUCACAUAUGUUCUGAUUUGCAGAGACUAAGAAGAAAUAGGGAUGUGGAGCAAGGAAGGAUAUCCAAUCAUGGGAAACAGAAGAUUGUCACCUAUCACCAAGAUUGGAGUAUAUUCCUUAGUGCUUAGUAAUGGAUUAGGAUUAGAUUUAAAUAAUUGUUGCUAUUCUCCAGAUAUGGCAUGAAACAUUAUUUCAUUUCAUGGUUUGUUUAGACAUGGAUUUACAUAUUCAUUUGAUAAUGCGAAAUGUUCUAUUUAUGGUUAUCUAAAUGGUGUUUUAUAUUUCGAAGCAUUGCCUUGUAAUGGAAUUUAUGAAACUAUGAUGGUUGUAGAUAACCUAGGAAAUGAUGUGUUGGGUAUCGAUUCUUCCAAUAAUAUGGAUAAAGCAUGCUUGUGGCAUUGUCGUCUUAGACAUGUCAACAUGAAACGAAUAGCCCAACUCCAAAAGGAUUGAGUGUUGGAGUCAUUCGACCUUAGGGACGAUGACAUGUACGAGUCUUGUUUACUUGGAAAGAUGACCAAGUCACCCUUCACUGGCACUUGUGAGAGGGGUGAGGGUCUAUUGGAUCUCAUACACACCGAUGUGUGUGGGCCCUUUUGAUCCACCACAAGGGAUGCGAACCGCUUCUAUGUGACUUUCACCGACAAUUAUAGCAGAUAUAGGUAUAUCUACUUAAUCAAGCACAAGUCAGAAACCUUUGAAAAGUUCAAAGAGUUUAAACAAGAAGUGGGGAAUCAAUUGGGCAGGAACAUCAAGAUGAUUUGAUCCGAUUGAGGAGAAGAGUACCGAAGUCUUGAAUUCCACGACUACCUCAAGGAAAGCGGAAUGGUUUCGCAAUUGACGCCACCUAGGACACCGCAGUUGAAUGGUGUGGCUGAGAGGCGUAAUCAAACCUUGCUAGACAUGGUUCGUUCCAUGAUGAGCCGUGCUUCACUACCUAUCUCAUUAUGGGGGUAUGCCUUAGAGACUGCCGCCCAUAUCCUUAACUUAGUCUCUACGAAGAAGGUUGCCAAAAUACCUUACGAGAUGCGGACAGGGAAGGCUCCCUCGUUAGCACAUAUCAAGGUUUGGGAUUGCGAGGCUUUCGUAAGAUGAGAGACUCACGACUAGCUCAAACCUCGUAGUGAGCGGUGUAUUUUCAUCGGCUACCCGCAGAAAUCCUUUCGAUAUCUCUUCUAUAGACCGAGUGACAAUGUUGUCUUCGUUGCGAGGAGAGGGGUUUUCUGAGAGAGAGAGAGAGAGCUCAAAAGCCAAGGGGAUAGUGGGAGGCAAAUCGAUCUUGAAGAGAUUCAAGAGUCGAGUGAUGAAGGAACCUCUAACGCUGGCACUUAACCCAAGGAGGAAACUCCGGUUGAGCUAAUUGGCGAGUCCUUACCUCUUAGACAUUCCUAUAAAGUUAGGGUUCAACCCCAGUUUUAUGGUUUUCAUAUUACUAUGGAAGGGGAUACGUUCAUUAGUGAUAGUACACUAGUGAAUUUGGACGAACCUAACAGCUACAAGGAAGCCAUGGCAGGCACAAAGUCUGUGAAAUGGAAAGAGGAGAUGGACAGUGAUAUUCAGUCCAUGUACGAUAACCAAGUUAGGAGCUUGGUUGAUCAUGUACCGGGUCGUAAGACGGUCGGGUGCAAGUGGAUCUUCAAGAAGAAUACUGACAUGGAUGAGAAUGUGCACACGUAUAAGGCUCGAUUGGUUGCGAAGGGCUUUAUUCGACAUCGGGUAGAAGAAGGACACCUUGUAGUGAAGAGGGUAUCGUCAGAGGAUAAACCAGCAGAUCUGCUUACCAAGGGACUGAGUAGGGUUAAGCACUUGUGGCACACUAGGAGCAUUGGCCUGAAGGACGAUAUUAGUUUAGAUUAGAUAGUUUAGAAACGUGUAAUAGAUAAAUGUAAUUGACAUUUGAUGAUUAAAUAAAGGAGUAUUAUUUAUAAGUAAAGUUAUUGUCUUAUGUUAAUUGUUUAACUAUUGUUUCACUUUGCAUGUUUUGACUUCCUGAAUAAUUGAGUUAUUUAAGAAUAAUCGAAUUAUUCGAACGGUCCACAGUCGUUCAUAUGUUGGAAGUAGGUAUGAAUGAAGACUAUCAUGAAUUGGUGUGUAGAUUGUCUGAUGAGAAUAAAUCUCUAGAUCGUUUAGAUCUUUCACAGGUAUAUUGAUAAAGAACAAACAAUUCAAUCACCAUACGAUUAAGAACACAAUAUGAAAUCAAUAUGAAGCUUGUGAUUCAAAUAUAGUCACGCCUCAGCAGAUCUCGACAAAGAACUUCCACUGUAGAGGCGAGCUAGGGUUUACAAUACUUUGAUAAGAAAAUAAUUAAAGUGUUAACGACUAAGGAUGCAUGCAUGCGCCUUAAAUACUAAAACCCUAGAAUAAAAUAAUGCACGGUUGGAUAGGCCCAAACCGGCUACAAAACUGGGCUAAGGACUGAGCCCAUGACUGUGACGACCCGAAAUUUCCAUUCUGUAUAACAUAUCAAGUCAAUAGAAGUUAGAACAGUUGCAGUAAAUUUUCAUACUUUUGGUAUAAGUUUGAGUAUUUCAGGAUUUACACUUAAAGAGAUAUCAGGAGAGAGGAUGCACUAAGGUUACGUGCAACUCUGUUAUUCCAAAGCUUCAUGAUAUUAGAAUUCAAUGCCUGAAUAAAAAUAUUUUCUUCCAAAAACCCUAGGGGUAUAUAUAUGGUUUUAAGCCAUAUUUAUUCAUUUGUUACAUUUCCAACUAGAGAAAAGCCGAAUUCUCUCUCAAGGAUCUUCGGACUUUUGUCCCAAAAUGUGAGUACUUCUAUCUAAGUGUGAUAUAAGGCUUGAUAUGUGUCAAAUACACUAGAAAUCAUAGGAAACCAUCAAGAUUUAAGAGUUUACGGCCCAAGAACAUCUCGGACCGUAAACCCUUCUUUAAGGGACAAAUGAUGCCCUAGUCCCUUCCUCUUGCAAUUAAACUAGAUUAGACUCCUAUCCUAAUGUAUUUAAGACUAGAAAACACCCCUAGAACACCAAGAGUAAGGUGUUAAUGGCCCAAGAAGUUCUUGGACCGUGAACUCCAAACAAAAGGGCCAAAGUUUGCUUAAACUCUCCUUAAGCCUUGGACACUAGCCUAGAUUCAUUCCUAGUUAAGUUAGGAGUUUGAAAACACCAAAAACACCCUUUCCAUGGGAGAUUACGGCCAUAAUCUCCAAAGGGUUUGGUCCCAGGGCCGUGAACUCCUCAAAGAAGUUAUAUGAUGCCCUAAACUCUUCCAAAGACUUGGCUAUUAAGUAGAAAUGCUUCAUAGGGUCUUGUAAAGCCUCAAAACAUCAAAUGACCAAGUAAGUAUGAGCUUAUGGCCGUAAACUCAUGAUUUUACGACCGUAAACUCAUUAGUUGGUGACAUUAGGGCCGUGAACUCCAUUAGGGAGUUUUCCUUGAACCCUACACACACUAGCUUGUCCCUACAACACUUAGAUGCAAUCCUUGAGGCUUAUAACACUUGUUAAAGGUGUUUAACAUGUCCUAGGGUGUCUAGACCUUUUUAUUAGUUGUUUAAAGACUAAUUUGAUACAUAUAUGUUAACUAGGAUCAUAGAGUGUGUUCAAGACUUCACUUGACACCUAGCAAUCCUACAUCUUCAGUUCAUCUGUACCACUCACUACAGGUGAGUUCAUACCCCUUAAUCAAUGUUUUAAAUGUUUUUAAAUUUUUUAUGGGGGGGGGGGAUACAAGUAGAAUCAUCCUAGUUAUUAUAUCAAUCACAUGUGAUUAAUAAGCAGCAUUCAAAUGAUUUACUACUCAUUAGCUGUUUUACCAAACAAUUUUCUUCACAUGAUUUUCAUAAAUGUUUUAUAUGUUUAAAACUCCUUAUUAAACUGUUCAUUUUACAAUGUAGGUUUCAUUUCAAACUCAUUUACGAUUGUGUUUCAAACAAAUGUUUCUUUAUACUUAAACUGUUUUAUCAAACAAAUACUUCAAACCCGUUUUAUAGGCUGACAUCAUGUCGACCUUUUCUUAGAUAAUAAUCAUGUUCAAAGGUGUUACAAAUCUUAUUUUAUGCUUUUAUAUUGUCAAUUGCAUGCCUAUAUAUGUAUAGUUAUAUAAGAAAUGUUUAAAGGACUUAGGAAAGCUAUCCGCCUUAUUUCCUUUUCGCCGUUGGGAUGUGGUCUGGUGGGGUACCGGGUAUCCGUCGGAAGGUCGUUUAAAUGUUAGUUAUGUAUUAUGCGUACAUAUAUAGUCUUAAAGGUUCUUCCAGUCCAUUCAAUACCCUUGGGUAGCAAGGGUAUACUUCCAUGUUCAUACGUACCAGUUACUUCACUAGUAAGUUACCAUAUGGGUAGCAUAGGAGGAUACUAAUACUAUUACUAGAACAAUGAAACAUACCAUGAGUCAGUUCAUUCAUGAGUCAGUUCGAUUAGUAUUCACAAUACAUUACUAUACAUGCUAGAUAGAGAGAGAACACACAUUACAGCUAGUACACACAAUACAUUACUAUACAUGCUAGAUAGAGAGAGAACACACACAUUACAGCUAGUACACACAAUACAUUACUAUACAUGCUAGAUAGAGAGAGAACACGCGUUACAGCUAGCACACGCAGAACAUUACAGUACAUUACUAUACUAUUACAUAGAUAUGUUUACAUGAUUACGCUUACAUGAGUACGUUUACAUAGAUACAUUUACAUGAGUGCGUUUACAUAUAUGAUAAUAGGACAUACAUCACUAGGUGCUAUAGCAUGGAACGAUUUCAGGAUCUAACUAUACCAAUGAAUCACAACGCAUUGUGAUAGUUAUAUUGGGUAUACAUGAUCAUAGUAAUGUGGAUGUUCACGGCUUGCAAAUAUGCAGGGGUCGUGUAUGGGUCCCAAAAUACCUUUGACAGGGGAGCGUCUAGCCUGGGAUCUAGCCAUCACAUUAUGUCUUAUCCCUCAAAUAAGGCAAUAUUAGUAUAGAAGUAGUCGCUUGUUACAAAUACUACAAUACUUACAAAAUUACCAUAGACCUAAGGUAAUUAGUACAGUUGUAGUUCGACACUACACCAUAGUACUAUUUCAUUUUCCCAUUACAUUCACUUCGUGAACAUUCACACGAUGCAUGGUAAUGUAGAAACUAUAUUUUUAGUUAAUGAUAGUCAGAUUUGGGAAAAUACACACUCUUACAAGAGACACACACACAGAUACUAGAUGCCUUGGUAGAAGGAUACUUUUAGUAGGAAACAUAUGGUUUUCUAGGAUGUUCAAAACGUUUUCAUACUUACAUUUCAAAUACAUACAAAUACUUACAUUUCAAAUACAUACGAAUACUUAUAUACAAAUUAAAACGCUAAAAUACUUAUGAUGUCACCAGCUUUAAAGCUGAUACUCUCUUUCAAAAUAACUUGUAUCCUCAGGUCAACAGUAGACAGGUACAGAUGCAAGGUUUAGAGAAGAUGGAGCUCGUUCAAGACUCAUCUUUCAUUUUGUUUAUACUUUCGUGUCUAUUAUAAUUUGAUAGAACACACUUGUAUUAAAAUUAUAUUAUUAAUGCAAUGGAUGAUGUUGUUGCUUGUUUACUACUUUUCAUUGUUGUGAUACUGUACAUGACGUCCUCCGCCCCAGAACGUUUCCGCCGUUCAUGGUUUUCGGGUGUGACAAUGACGCAACACUAUACAACCCAACAAUCUUCUCCUUUGCGUCAAAUAAGGUGAGAGAUUAUUUCUGUUGAGUAGAUUUCACAGUCUUCACAACUUUGAACAGCCGAGGAAUGAUAGCAAGAAAAGUCUGCUGAAAUUGAAUAUACCAUCGCAACAUGUCAGUAAACAACUUCUUGUCAGCUGCAGAAUUCUGAUUACACUUGUGAAUGAACUCCAAAAUAUGCUCCAAGCAAGCAGUUGAGAACACGUGCUUAUCACAAAGAGCGAAAAGACAUUUAUGAUUUUCACCCCUAAUGAACAUUAAUGUAUGAGAUUGUGGGUCGAUUUUACCCUUGACCAUCACGUUCACAUUGCGAGUUUUCCUAAUUGGUUUGAUCGUUGGUCGCUUGUGAAUGGCAGAUGCGAUUUCUUGAUCCAUUUUCGCUACUUCAUGAAUGCAGCAAACAAGCAUUCGCUUGAUAUGGUCUAUAAUUGGCUGAUACUCCUGAGGAUUGGACAAUAAAAUAUUGUUGAGGCGAUCGGUUUCGCAUUUCGACGAUUCCAUUUUGCUGUGGAGUAUAUGGAGCAGAGAAAUUUUGAGUCGUUCCCUUCUCAGCCAGAAAAUCUUCGAAAUCCUUGUUCUUGAAUUCCAAGCCAUUGUCGCUUCUUACGUUACGAACCACUUUUCGCAGUUGAAUCUCUACUUGCUUUAUGAAGAUCUUGAGCUUAGGAGUUGCCUCUGAUUUUUUUCUUCAAGAAAAAUGCCCAUGUGAAGCAAGAGAAGUCGUCAACUAUUAAAAGAAUGUACUUGUUCCCACCAAUGCUUUCAAUAGAGGAGGGACCACAUAGAUCGAUAUAUAACAGCUCCAAUGGUUCUAUUACCUUUUUCUUGAUAAUAGAAGGAUGACUUUUUCGAGUUUGCUUUCCCAUUUCACAAGCUGCACAUAGAUGUUCUUUGUCGAAUUUAAGAACUGGAAGACCUCGAAUGUGAUCCCCAAGUACUAGCUUGUUGAUGUCUUUGAAAUUAAGAUGAAAGAGCCUUCGAUGCCAUAACCAACUUUCAUCUGAGUGUGCCUUCAUUAGCAAGCAAACUGCCCAUUUCACUCGAAUUGGAUUGAGAUUUAAAGGGUACAUUUCCCCCUUCCGCUUCGACUUCAGCAGAAUAUUAUUUGACUUCUUUUCGACAAUCUCUGAGCCUUCUUCAUCAAAGGAUACCUUCAAUCCGGUCCCAACUACUAGCCGUGAUACACUUAUGAGGUUGUGCUGCAAUCCUUCAACGUAUGUGACCUUUUUGAUUGAGAAAUGACCAUUCAUAAUCAUUCCAUAGCCUUUGAUAGUUCCAAACGAAUUGUUGUCGUCCUUCACUAUUCCACCAUCCUUGAGAGACCGAAACUCCCUCAGUUCUUCCCUUCGUCCUGUCAUGUGACGCGAGCAACCACUAUCAAUGUACCAUUCUUCGUCAAACUGCUCGUCACAUAGAACCUGCAAAAUAUCAAGCAGAUUUAGGAACCCAAAGUUUCUUGGGUCCUUGUGAGCAUUUUACUGGACAAGGAAUAGUAAGAGAAACAUCAACCAUAUAAGUUCUUUUUAUUAGAGUUGUUUCAUCUUUUCUUUUUAUUGUAAAAAUUUUGAUUUUGUUUGACUUAGAUUCAUUUGAUUUAGACGUAGGAUUUGAAAUUUUGACGUCUGCAUGCUUUUGGAUCUUUUUCGAGCAUCUAUUGUCUUCUGGAAAGAGCUUUCCUUUCCCCUUUGAAUCUUUUGAAGAAUAAGAAUUAGAAUGAAAAUGAGAAGAAUAAGGUUUAGAAGAAAUAUUAGAUCAUCGAUUAUUGCACUUCCUUGGUUGAGAACGGGAACAUUCUUCCCUUCGGUUCUUCCGAUUGAACCUGGUACUGAACCCAUUCUUUCGGCUGCUAUUAUGUUGUGGAACGAAACAUUUCUUUCGGUUGCUUACCUGCUGAGGACCGAAACCCUCCUUUCGGUUGCUUUCAUGUCGAGGACCGAAACCUUCCUUUCGGUUGCUUCUUGGUUCUCUUCGUGACUUAUGUGUCUUUUCAUACCAUACGUAAUGAGGAUUCUUAGAUCGCCAAAACUGUUUUCUUUCUGAGAGAUUCUUCUUGUAUCUUAGAUUACGUUGGUGUUUACGUUCUGCCAUAUGUUUUGGAUUUUUAUGAAUAUUGGCCUUUUUCUUCGGUAGUUGAGCAUGGCUUUCGCUCUUUGACGAACACGUCUCACUAGAUGUUAUCACUGGUUCGCUCGAAGAUGUUUUGGUACCACUUGUGCUUGGUACAUCAUAUCUUGUAGGUUCAUUAAGUAGUUCCGACAAACACCUACCCUUCACUCUCCAUGAGGUUUUCUGAGAUAACCCUUUUGUUUCAUCAGCGUUAUCUAUUGGUGCUGACCAGAAGAACUCCUCACAUCCAUUUGCAUUAUCUUCUUCUACCAUUGCUGUCAGUUCUGCUGUUUUUUGAGGUGUGACUCCCUAAACUGUGUAGACUUGAUUUGGAGUGGUUUGAACCUUUUGAUAUAUAACAACUUUUGCCAUGAGGAUUUUAGUUUUGUCUGUCGAUGAGCUAGCGAGCUCAACGGAGUUUUUAGAGAUCAUAUUUUUAUUAGGUUCGGGUUCGCUUUUGACAAAUUCAGAACAAUCCACCACGUCCUCUACAGAGAUUUCACUCAUGUCAUCAUCCUCAUUAAGUUCAGAUGCAUUUUCAACAUCAAUUUUAUUUUCUGAACUUAAUUUGGCAUUCAACGAGACAAAUUUUUGUAUAGUUUUGGUUCUUUGUUUCAAUUUAACAUUUUCAUCUAACAUAUUUUUGAGCAUGUCCUUAUGGUCUUUUGACUUUAUGUAGGACUCUAUUUUGUCGAGACCAAUUUUGCAGCCAUGAGAGAUUUUGUCAUAAGAUACAACAUUUUCACAGUUGUAAGCUUCGACAUCGACUUCAUCCACCUUUAACUCAAGGAAGGGUAAAAUCAUGCGAUGUAUCUUCUUUCCUAUUUGAUAAUCGAGAUGUAACUGAGUGAUAUUAAAAUAUAGUCUUUUCGCAAUCAAACAAAAAAUGUUUCGUUGUUUUAAAAGCUUAAGAUUUUCUCGUUGCAAAUAGAUUGACUCAUCCCUAGAACUAAUUAAUUCUUUCUCCUUCUGCUCAAUCUAGAUCCUCUUUUCCUCACUCUUCGACGAUAUCCUGCUAAUUUGAUUAGUCAGGUUAGAGUUUGUGACACGAGUUUGGGUAAGACUACUACUUAAACUAGAAAAUUUAGAUUUUAAGCUAUUCAGUCCCUUUUCAUAGUUAGUAAUAGGAAUUUUCAAAGAAUUUAGAAUAUAUUGUACCUUCUUGAUCAACUCAUCACAUUCGUUGAUCUGUGCACUGACAGGUUUCGCAGUGAAACACCUGUCCUCUCGCUCCUUCUCAUAUUCCACGCCACCAUCUGUUCUAUAUCCUCACAUCUGUGAUACACCUUCUGUCACCAUCAAACAUCUUCCCGCAACAUUUUCUUCUUUCACCAGCAUAGCCUUUCCAUGAGUCGGCUUUCUCACUUCUUCGUCCUCUGAAUCUGUGGACCACACCUGUACUUCACCAAAUUCAUCAUUGUCACCUGUAUCCUGUACAAUCAAAGAAUUCAUGGUGUUAUUGUUAGCUGUUGAUUUCCUUUUCUUGAUCUCCUCCAAUCGUCUUUGGAGGUUCACUUCCUCAUCAUUUUCAUCAACCUUUUCAGCCUUUUUCUUCAGCAUGCAGUCUUUGGCAAAGUGAUUCUUGCCUCCAAAAUAAUGGCAAUCAAAACCUGAGUCACCACCAAUCAUUGACUCCUUCUUGGAUUCUUCUGACUUUGAACCCAUCUUCGGUUCCUCCUUCACUUUUUCGGAACUAUAACUUCCCUGCCAGAUUCGGUUCUUGUUGACUAGGAACUUUCUUUUGAUAAAGUUUCUUGGAUUGGAAACCAUCAGGGCAUACUCUUCACUAGUUAGAUCAUAGUAAGCAAGAUCCAAUUCUUCUUCUUCUUCAAUAACACCUUUUCCUUUUGAAAUAAGAGCUAAUGACCCCAAACUAGAAACCACGUUUGUUUCCUUUGACACCACACUUUCAUGGGACUUCAGAAUUCCCACCAGUUUCGCCAGAGAGUAUGAUUUGAACUGUUUGUGUGCCUUCACUGUGGACACAACUGCAAUCCAUUCGAGUCUAAAACCGUUCAUGAAGGUAACCUUCUGCUCAAUAACCUUCCUUUCGAUCUCGUGCUUUAUCAUCUUACUGAGAACAUGAUUAAACCGAUCAAAGGCCUACAUCAGUUUCUCUUCGGGCUUCUGUUUGAAAUCACCAAAUUUAGAAAGCAGCAAGGUUUUAAUCGAAUGUUCCAGAUCUUCAUCAGUAGAAUAUAAUUCUUUUAACCUAUCCCAUAUUUCUUUUGCUGUAGCACAUGAACUCACCAAUCGAAAUGUGUCCGAUUGUAAAGCAAACCUAAUCAUUCUUAAGACUUUGAUGUUGCACUAAAACUUCUCUUUCUCAUCUUGAGGAAUGUCUUUCACAUCAUUCACGAGCUGAUUGUACUCCUCUUGAGUUUUGACAAUCUUUGAAGUGCUUGAGUAAGCAAAUGGACCAACUGUGGUUGCUUCCCAGAUCAAGUACCCAUUAUCCUCUAAGCAGAUUACAUAAUCUUCGAAGUGGUGCAUCCAUACUUCAUAGUCCUGAGUGUAUAAGAUUGGAAUUCUUGUUGUUGAUCCAAUACUAUUGGAGAUGUUUAUUGGAUUGGAUUGAGAAUCGUCCAUGGACAUUGUGACGUUUGAUCGAUAACCUGUUUAAGAUCAGACUUGUAAUUUAUCGUUAGGGAAAGAUCGACAAUUAAUCACAUACGCCAAUUUGGAAUGACGACUCAAUUAAUAUCAAUCAAUGCGGAAAAACCCUUAUAAUUUCUUCAACAGAAGAGAUGUGUAAGAAUUACAUAGCCUCCGGCUCUGAUACCAAUUGAUGAGAAUAAAUCUCUAGAUCGUUUAGAUCUUUCACACGUAUAUUGAUAAAGAACAAACAAUUCAAUCAUAAUACGAUUAAGAACACAAUAUGGAAUCAAUAUGAAACUUAUGAUUGAAAUAUAGUCAUGCCUCAGCAGAGCUCGAUAAAGAACUUCCACUGUAGAGGCGAGCUAGGGUUUACAAUACUUUUAUAAGAAAAUAAUUAAAGCGUUAACAACUAAGGAUGCAUUCAUGCACCUUAAAUACUAAAACCCUAGAAUAAAAUAAUUCACAGUUGGAUAGGCCCAAACCGGCUACAAAACUGGGCUAAGGACCGAGUCCAUGACGCAACACUAUACAACCCAACAUUGUCUGAAAAGUAUUAGACAUAUCAAGGGUUUGCUACAACUUUCAUGAGUGCUUAUGAAUAGGUUUUGAGCAUUGGAAUAAACCCACGCUUGUUGGAAUCACUUCAUGUAAUUUACCACGAGUGAUCGCAAGAUGAUAAUAUCAUGUCAUCUUAAAACCUAGAUAUGGUUUAUUGUUUGCUGAUUGGUUGUGCAUUGAUAAUGCGAAAACGCAUCAGUAACUUGAUGUUAUAAAACGCGUUGUUGUGUAUGAUUUGAUUAGUGAAUAGUAAAUGCAUAUAAGUCGAAGUUUAUCUGUUCCUUUUAUCCUAAGAGGGUAAACGCGAUAUUAGGGCCCCACGAUGAUUUGGUUUGACUUAUGUGUCUGGCCCGGUCAUGACUAAAUUUAUGUGUUCAAUUAAGUUCUAUGUCAAACAAAUCUGAGAUCGAGAAACAAACUGCUGGGCAAUAAGUAUGACUAUGUUCCAUGUGAUUGUCCACACGAUAUCUAAACAGAGGAUCAUACGUUCCCUUAUCUAAAGGACAAGAUAUUGAUAACAUCAGAGUUCGACAGCAUCUUUAAGAGCUACAAUUGCUAAUCGACUUGUGCUUGCAUUUAUGGUUACUAGUCUUAUCCAAGUGGGAGACUGUUGGAUUAGUGUCUAAGCUCGUAACCAUAUUCUGUAAGUAUUUGACCCGGUUGUGCAUGGUCCUUUUGGGUUGCCUUCACCAAAGCAACUUGACUGGAAAAAUGAUAGAGAAAUAGGUUAUUAUAGUUUAUUAAUAUAUUAUAAGAAUAAUAUAUUAAAAGAUAAAUCAUAUUUAUUUAGUUGACAUUAGUCAAGAAUCAAUUUAGAAUUAAUUUUGUGAUUAAAAUAAGUUAACUAAACUAAGGGGAGCUGAAUUGUAAUAAUGAGAUAGUUACAAAAUAGGGCAAUGGAUGCCCUAUGGAUAGGGUGGACGAAUUCAAGGGGAUAAGGCCUUGGAAUUCGUCCAUGAUAAGGCUUUUGGACUUAUCUGAUGGGCUACUUGGUGGACAAGCAACCAGAUAAGGAUAAAGACUGAAACCCUAAUCCCUACACCUAUAUAAGGACCCUUUGGCUUAGGAAAAUCAGCCACUUUAUCCUAGAAUCUCCUAGAGCCGAUUUUCUACCUCUCCCAUCUCUCUCUCUUGCCUCUCCAUUUGCUUUUGGUGUUUGUAACCCAUUAGAGGUACUACACUUGUGGUACUUGCUUUCAAAGACAAGAAGAUUGAAGAUUAGAGUUGUUAUUACAAUAUAACAACAAGAGGUAUGUAAUCCCUUCUAUUAUCUAUAUUUCGAAAUAUAUAGGACCAUUCUAGGGUUCUUCUUGUGUUCAUAAUGUUGUGUAUCUAAUAGUAAAAACAUAGAUCCAAAAUCUAGGGUUGCACGCACACAUAUGAUUGUUUGUAUAAAUCCUAUCAAUUUCAAAUAGUCACUAAAGUUAUUUUAUGCGUUGUGGCUCCUAAAACUUCUAUUUUAUUUGUUAAUAAAGGGAAUGAAUCUAUUUGAUUUCGGUUUGGCCGGUAAUUCAAGUCCAUGGGGAGUUUUUAUAUUUGUUUUAAAUUAGAAUUAAAGAAAAUAGUAUAUGUGGCUUUUUUAAUUGAAUUCAUUUUGGGAUAAUAUCUAUCCAUUUUUAGGGUUUGACGUCGUUCAAACUCUCCAUGCUUUCACACUUUCACAUGGAUAUAUUUCUUCAUCCACUUCUUUUACAUAAAAAAUCAACGACACAUUCCCACCAUUUAAACUUUAAUUUUCUCAAGAAAUCCAUCAAUCUUAUAAUGAGAUUAACCACAAAAAAUAAUGCAAUUUUUCUUUUUGUUGGUCCUUAAAAAUGUCAUAUUCAAGUUUCAUAUUUCAUCGGAGCUUCAAUCGUAUCACAACUUCGGAAGAUAAUAAAUUUAUAGCUUCGAUUAGCUGACGCUCGAACUUACCAGCGGCGACGAAGCUUUAGCUGCAGAGGGAAAGCAAAGAUGGUGAACAUGACGGCUAUUUUCUGGAUGUCAUUGGGUGUUUUUGUGUUUUGGAAAUCAAUGGAUAAGGUUUCAUGUUUUGAUCGUGACUAGAAUGUAUGAAUCUUUCUUCUCUCUGUAUGUAUAUCUAGAUGUUCAAUUAUGCUCGUACUUUUUCGUUUUUCCUACUCUUAACGUAGCGAUUAAGAAAACAAUUACUAUUAAGCUUAGAUGAAUGUUUGAUCGAAUAUUUCAUGGAAAAUUGAGUAUUUCAUGGGAAAUGGCUAGUUGAUGUUAUUGAUUUUUGUUGCUUCAUUGCUUGGCUGUGUGCUUAUGUGCAACAUAAGAAGAGAUUGGUGAAUUAAGUCUUUUGUACAAACACACAAAGAUUUUUAAAAUAUAAAAAUAAUUUUUAAGUUAAAAAAUUUGACAAGAAAAUCAAAUUGACACUGUAUCAACGCCGUAUAAACCAUUUUAAUCGACCAAAAUACAAUGUCGAUGCCAUUUCAUCCAUCCAACCGGAUGACCUUUCAUUUUAGGGAUAUUUCCCUAUCUAAAAGGUAAAGUUGAAGUUUAAGGAGCCAAAAUGCAUAAAAAUAAAAAAAAUAAAAAAAUAAAAAAAAAAAAUAAUAAAAAAAAAUAAAAAAUAAAAAAAAAAAAACUUAAAUGACUAUAUAAAACAAAUGAUAAAAGUUCCUCGGCUAAAAUGAUAUUAACCAUUUUAUUUAUCAUAGGUUCAUACUUUUUCUUCUUUUAUAAUGGAAACACUGAAGAAAUUUUAUUGUUACAAUUGAUAAUACAAAUUCGUUAUGAAUCCCUCAACUAUGCAUUCGUUACGUGCUAUCAUUUAAAAACUCCAAACGUUAUUUGUCUGUAGAUACUUUUCUUGUCAUUAUAAAGCACGAAUUAGAUUAUUUUUUCAUUUGUUUUUGUCAAUCAUUUCAUACAUACUUUUCAUCGCUUCAUAGUCGUCUCCAUGUACCAUCACUCGUUUAAUCCUUACACCCUUUCCUAUAUUUACCCUUUUUCAAUCCAUCAGCUUUUGUCGAUUCAUGUUUUCUUUGUAAUAAAAACAAAAAUCAUAACACUAUUUACUAAUGUUAAAAAAAAAAAAAAAAUUGGUUUAAAAAUAAAGUGGACCACGUAUACAUUUACAUUUAAGAAAGUCAACACAGUUUAAGUAGUCCAAGAUUUGUCAACGUAAUAUUAUUAUUAAUUUUGACUUUUUGUAGACGUGUGAUGCAAUGUAAGUGGUUGAAAUAAGUCUUUCACAUGGAAAUUGACUUUAUUACUAAAUGUCUUUACCAAAAUUUGGUAUCCUUCCCUUCUUCCACUAAUUUUAAUAUUCCACAAACCUGAAUUCGAAUUCAUAGACGUCAAAAUAGAUUAUUCAUAUAAUAAACUAUACUAACACAUUGACAUAUAUUAAAUCAGAUUGAUCCAUCUAUAUAUCUUUAUAUGUUUUUUCCUAAAUAUUUUGUAAGCUACUUACUUAUAUAUAAUUAAAAUUAUUAUAUCAAAACCAACAAAUACAUAUUCAUAAUUAUCGACUUUUAUAAUUCUUAUUAUUUUUAUUAAAUCAUUUUUCCAAUAAUUUUAUUUUUACAAAAAGCUAUGAUAAAAAAGAGUUCUUCCAAUGAAAAGGCUAUUUAUAGUUGUUUUUAGUAAUAUAGAUUGACAAAUUACAAAACAAUCACUAUAUUACCAUCAAAUUUUGAAUUUUACACAAAUUUAUUUAUUUUCACAAUUAUAUCAUUAUAUUUAGGUGAUUUUGUUUUUAAAAGGUAAAAUAUAUACAGUCUGUGGACCAUAUCUACAGAAGAAGAGAUAUAUCAAACGUCUAUAGUUUGUAAGAAAAAAGAUUGUUUUUUAAGGUUUACAAGCUGCUACAAUAACUAAAAUUUAAAUAAAUUAAUUUCUUAAAAUUUAAAAAAGUUUUUUAACAUUAAAAUUAAAUAAUUCAUAUUUUAGUUCAUUUAAUCUAUAAUCAUAUAAUUAGAUUUCAAUAUUAAUAAAUCACUUUCAAAAUUAUGUAAGAUAAACAAAAAUAACUAACUAUUAAGAUCAUAUUAUAGUGUUCCUAAUCACCCAAAUAUGUGUAUUGUCACUUAUAAUAAACUUCAAUUUAUAAAAAAAAAACUAUACAAAUAUCUAAUUAUAUAUGUAUAUUUGUUAUUGACAAGUUUAAACUUACAAGCAAUCAUUUAAAAGACUAUCAAAUUGCAAAAAUAAUUUAUCCUUAAUUAUCAACAACAAUAUUUUUCAUUUCCCUUGCAAACUAUUCACAUAAAGAACAUCCUAAUCCUAACUUCAACUCCCUCAAGCAACUUAUCAAACCAAGACUUUGCAUAAAAAAAGCCACAUAAGAUGUAUUCAUCUUCUCCACUUUCGACCACAAAAGUUGGUAAAUUUGAGUCUUCAUUAUGUUAAAUUGCACUACAAACAAUAAAACAAUAUUUCCAAUGCAAUAUAUAUAUAUAUAUAUAUAAUAAUAAUAAUAAUAAUAAUAAUACACUUAGGUGGGUCCACCACCUAAAACAUACAAAUAGAAACAAAUUCCAACAUCAAUAUAGAUUCAUAAAAUUUGAAUAACAUUUCAAAUUUCAACAAAUGUAAACAACAAUCAUAUUGAACAAAUAUAUGCAUUUGAUUUCAAAUUUCUAAUGCUUGAACAACAUACCCUAGAAGAGAAAACAUGUAUUUUCAGCAAAAGUAAACAUCAUAUCAAAUUCAUCAAAAUGUAAGCAUCUAAUUUCAUAUAUCUAAUGUUUGAACAAUACAUGCAUGCAUGAUACAUGCAUGCACAUUAAAUAGUCUAACCCGAGCAACAUAAAAACACGGAUGGACAGGCCCAACCCGUUAAAGAUGAGACUAUUCUAGUACAAAACAUUUGACACAAUACAAUAAUAACCUAACAAUCUCCCCCUUUGUGUCAAAUAAAGAAAGGAGAUUCUUCAUUGUUGUUGACGUUUCUGAACCUUGAAUAACUUCGAAAUUAAGUUUAGAAGGGUCUUUCAGACAAGGAUGUACCAUCUGAUCAUAUUGGAGAAGCACUUCUGAUCAGCAACGUUGUUCGCUCUACAGGCUUUGGAGUUAACUCCAUGAUGUAGUUCAGAGCGGUGGUUGAGUACAAAUUUUGAUCGAGUCAGAAGAACGUACACCUCUGAACAACCUAAUAAGUCCUCUUUUGAUACACCACACUCCAGUUUUCUUUUUGAAUUUUUCCUAACUUCAUCUUGUUCAGAUCCUUCAAUUCUUCUUCAAUUUUCAGAAUUGGUUUCUUUUUUUAGCAUAACUGCAAUUUCCACAUCCAAUUUUACAAACACUUGAAUAUAGAAAAUCAACGUUCUUUUUAGAUGAGAAAUAAUAGGCUUAUACUUCUGUGCGUCUUUGGACAAGACAAGAAACAAGGUAAUCCAAUAGUAAGGAUUCAUGCACGACAAAUCUGCAAGAGUAAAAUCAGUUUCUGAUUUAUUGGAUCCUCUGAAUCCUUUGAAUCUGACUUUGAUGAAGUUCUCAGUUGCAACAGGAGCAUAAAACUUCACUGCGACAAGCUUUUGUAAAUUCCAAGAUCGGUAUUGAGGCAGUCCAUAGUUGAUGUAGAAUGAGAAGAGUGAAUGAUUGACAAUAGAAUCAGAAAACAUAGCUCUUUCAAUUUUCUCAAAGCAAAUAAAUAGAAACGCCCUAGGAGUUAUUGGAAAGUCGAGUUGCGAAUCUACUGAAUUUUCCAGUUCAAACAAAACUGAACGCUCCAAUCAAUUUUCACUUGGUUCAUCAACCACUUCCUUCUGAAUCCUCUUCAUAGUCCAUGGAGGAAACAUAGACUUCUGAGUCUCUAAGGUAACCUUCAUAACUCUUUCUUCAACUUCCUUUGCUUCUAACUCUUUUCUGAAUAUUAUAAUAUCAUCAAGCUCGUUGUCUCUUUUCUUUCUUACAAGCUUUUCUCCUUAGAUAAUUCUUCUUCCUCUUCUUCAUCAUCAACCAUCUUUUCUUUUCCUCUAGAUCCAGAAGCUUCAUUAUCCUUAUGAUCUUUAGGGUUCGGUUUUGGUUUAUGCUCUGAUUUGCUAGUGUUUGGUUUUGGUUUCUGUUCAGAUUCAGCAAAUGGUUUCUUAGGCUUCUCUUUCUCGUUAACUUAUCCCCCUUGUUUCGGAAGGGCAUCACUUUCCGAAACAUCCUUAAUCCUGUUAAGCAUGGCGAAGAUGGGCUUGAGUUUUUCAAUAAGAUGUUGACGUACCGAGACGGUGAGCAAUGAGUCACGAGUCUCUACGAGGUUUUGCAGAUACAGGUUAACAUCAUAAACACAACUCUUAAGAACAACUUUCUUUGACUCUAAAUCAUUUAGAUUCCGGUUGGCGUAAUCCAAUUUGACCAAUAGACUCUUCGGUUUUUUAGUCUUCUGAGCCAGCUUAUCCAUAAGAUUGUUCUUAGUAGAAAGGCCCGCUUGAAGUUUUUCAAUUUUGUUCUCAAUAGCGAUGUUGAGUGCAAAACUGUCAACUUGGAUUUGAGAGCGAACACGCGAAAGUGCAUCCUUCUCAAUCUGCAAUUUAGAUCCAAGACCUGUAAUUGCCUUGUUGACACGCUCGGUUUUUACAUCAUUGGAUUUCUGAAAGUUCUCCAUGAACUGUGUAACGUCAGCAUAUAGUUUUUGACUUUUGGGGUCGCGUCUGAAAUAGCGGAUUCUGAGGCUUGAAUGGUCUUUGUUGCUGUAGGUAGAACUUUUGCAUUCUCUUUGGUAAGCGAUUCAACGGUUGCUCUGUGAGACUUGAGUAUGAAGUCAUAAUUAGUUGAAGUGAUUGGGGACUCAAGAAUCGAAUCCAACUUGGCAUUAAGUUGCUUAAACUGGCCUUGAGUUAUAGGGGCGUUGUCAUCAUCACUUUCCUGAUGAAUGGAAAAAGGACUGAAAGUGAAGUCCUGAAAAGCUUCUUGAUCAUCCCUAAAGACGAGAUCUGGAUCAUCUGCUCGUAAUGCUAAAGCUGUUGAAGUGCUUGUACUAGUAGUAACAAUGAAAUUAUAUGCCCCCAUUUCAGAUACGUUGACAAUAGACAUCAGAGUACUGAUGGUGGUUGUGGUUGCUGUGGAGUCGGUAUACAACAAAGUGGAUAAAGGUACAUAAAUUUGUGGUUGAGAAACUCCAAUAUAAAAUUUUGGUAAUGGAGCAAUGGUGAUUAGUGUAGUUGUUGUGAUUUGAGAUGAAGUGGUGAUCAGAGAAGGUGGAGGUGUGGGUAUUUGAAAGAAAUCAUAAUUAGGAGUAGCUGAGGUAGGCGGAGUAGAUACCUUCAGAAGUGGAUUGGAAGUGGGUGGUUUCGAAGUGGUUGCAAUGUCUUCAACCUCGUUCUGAACAGGUUCACCCCUACGAACAUUAGAGCGAGUUCGAGAUUCAGAAGGUUCCUGAACUGAAGAUGGUGACCUUUCUUUCCGAGCUAUUUUCCUAACUUUCCUCUUCGGUGUUUUGAUAACCUCUGAAGGACCUGCUUUUCUCUUUCUUUUAGCUCCUCUCUCGGUUUGUUUGCUUACUCGAUAGCCACUCUAAAGUCUUCAGGCAUGGAGGGAGCACUAGAAGUAGGUUGUUUAAGAUAUUCAUUAACUAUCACAUUGUCAGAAGGUACUUUUACGAUCAUUAACUCUGGAAUGGAUCCCACAAAAGCAAACUUAGCUGGGUCAGAUAUCAUGAAAGACGAUGUCUAUAGGAUCGGAAUCGCAGCAAUUACAGUGUCAUCGAAGAUUGGAACUUUGAAGUGAACAAGUGCUCGUUUAACCAUAAUUGACCAAAAACGUGCACAAGUGAUCUCAGUAUUGCGAGUUGAAGAGGAGGUACUAAAAAUGAGUUGAGUUUAGAGGAUGGAGCCAUAGUCCAAAUUAAUAUCUUUGUAAAGUCCAUAAAGGAUUGUGAAAAAGAGCUUGCUCGCACUGUCGGAGCCUGCAACUCGUUCUAAAAAGCUUUUAAAGAGUAGCAUAAAGAGACCAUACCAUACUGGAGGAAGAUUGUGUUUCCUAAGCUUGGAUAGCAAUGUGAUAUCCUCAAGAUAAUCCAUCUGAAAGAACAUGUUGAUCGGUUCAGUUGAGGAAAUCAAGUCAAAAACAACUAGGCCUUCAGAAGUAUCCAACCCUAGCAUUUUGCAAAAUCGAGUUUUGUUGAUCGAGGUCCUGUUGGAAGCAAACUCAAAGGGGAUGAUGCCCUCAACUUGAAUAUACAUUGCAGAAGAUUACGCCUUUGACAGAUGAACCAAAGGAAUCGAUUUAGCCAUCGUCAAAGGUUGAGGCAGAGGAGAAAACAUCAGACAUUCGAUCAUUGGCCUCAAAACUUUAGGAUAUCAAGACGAAUCCAGAUCUAGAAUCAAAUUUUGACCAACCUUUUGAUUGGUUUUGAGCAUUCUAACACUUCCUAAGUGUACAUGCAACCCUAAUAACCUUGAAUCUAUGUUUUCUCUAUAUACAUGCAAAUUUCUUUUUCAAGGUUAUUUCCUAACUAGCAUGGCAUGGGGAAGAUGUAAAACAUAAAACUAGUAGAAAUACAUACCUUGUUGUUGCUUGGAUUCCUUCAAGACUUUGUGAGCCUAACACCCAAAAUGUUGUGCCUCAAGUGCUUCACACAAAACCACAAACUUGGAAUAACCUGAGAGAAUGUCACUUAGCCUCAAAAAUCGGUUAUGCCCUCUUAUGAAUACCCUAGUGCCAAUUUUGCAUGCUAUAGCGUUUCUUUUAUAGUGUGUCAUAAUUAGGAGUUACAAAUGUAAACCCUAAUUGUCAUGACUUUCAUUUCUCAUGACCCAUGGUGUAACGACGUAGUUUUUCAAAACAAUUUUUCAUUUCUUUAAAACAUAAUUUCAUUCAAGACAAACCAUAAAUUCCAAUGUAACAUGGUCACAUAUCAAAUCCCAAGAUCAAACAUAUCCAAUCCGUCUGUGUGUGUGUGUACGAGUCAUGCCAGCGCCUUCCCACGGUCCUCACUAGUACCUGAAACACAUUACACAUAAACAUUGUAAGCAAGAAGCUUAGUGAGUUCCCCAAUAUACCACUUACGCACAUACGCCUUUCCAGGCCAUACUCCACACGAACUUCCGGUCCAUGUGUCUCAGGGUACUUCCGUCCCAACCCGGUAAACCUUCCGGUCCUACCCGUGUCGACCUUUCGGUCCAUAACUCCCUGACCUUCCAGUCCACAUCAUAAUGCCUUCCGGCCCAUAUCAUAAUGCCUUCCGGCCCAUAUCAAUCAUAACACACAUAUCGCAUACAAAACAGGCAACUCAUAGCAUACAAUGCAUAUAUCUCAUAGUAUACCAGACAUUCCCGUCACACAUAGGUACCCUUCCAGGUACAGUAUAGUGAGAAGACUCACCUCGUAUGAUGUCUAGUAUCUCACGUGCUCGAUAUCUCUGAAUAUCGAAACAACGAUCUAGCCUCGCCUAAUCACAACAAGUAAUCAUUCCAAAUCAUUAACGGCUCCCAAGGCCAUACUACAUCCCUUUCUACAAUCCCACAGAAGGGUAAAAGACCAUUUUACCCCUCCCUUACUCAAAAGUAUACACGUUGACCAAAACCCUAAAAGUUAACAAAAGUCAACAGCAAGCAGUACGUGGGGCGUACCCUUGCACUCCAGAAUCAGGGAACGCGACCCCCUACACGGCGCGUACUGGGAUUACGCCCAACGUAAAUCCCAGUUUCUUACUUUCUUCAUUUUAGUGUCUUAAACAGUUAAGACAUAAUCUCACAUUCCAGAUCUGGCCAUUCUAAUACCUCUUAAUCCAUAAAGUCGAAACCUUUAAGCCUUUGCAUGGCNUAUAAAGUUUCCCACACCUUCUAACACCUUUCCUUUCUCCUCCAAAAGUCUAGAUCUCAUGCAUGGCUCAACAUUUACGUCUAAGAUUGCAUUUUUAUGAACAUACAACUCAUAUAGCCCUGAAAUAUGAUAGAUCUAGGCCAAUGGAGACUAUUUGCUCAUAAAGUCUCCAUCUUGGGACCAAAAACCCUAGAAUUUGGUCCAAGAAGCACACAACACAAAUAACAAGGCAAGUUCUAAACUUUAUACCUCAGGAAGAAGCUCCAACCUCUGUAGACCUCAGAUCUACACUUGUCCACCAACUUCUAGCUCCUACAAUGGUCUCCUCUUCUCUUUCACCACCUUGAAAUGGCACUUUGAAGCUUAGGACGAAGGGAAUACUUUCUUAGGGUUUCUUUCUGUGAGAUGGUGGCUGAGAGACAAGACCAUCUCAUUCCUUUUAUAGCACUCAAGUCAUAUUAGGGUUUUGCAUCUAGGCCAGUUACGCUCGGCGUAACCUUAGGUACGCUCAGCAUACACGGAUGAAUCCGCGUACAAAAUAAGCCCGCGAGUACGCGCAACGUACUCCUUAGUACGCCCAACAUACUCAUAAGCUUAGCAUUUACAUAAAGUGACCUAACAUGACAACUUGGAAAAGAAGAAGGGUUAAAUGGUUGAACCUAAAUUUCGGGAUGUUACAAUUCUCCCCCACUAGAACCAGACUUCGCCCUCGAAGUCUUAUACCGAAAACAACUCCGGAUGCUGCUCCCGCAUCUUUGACUCUGGCUCCCACGUCAGCUCGGACCCCUUCCGAUGCUGCCACUAAACCUGCACCAACAGUACCUCCUUGUUCCUCAGAACCAGGAUCUUCCAAUCCCGAAUCGCAAUUGUUCUCUCAGCAUAAUUCAAGCCCGCAUCCACCUGAAUAUCCUCCAGCGGCACUACCGCCGACUCGUCGGCUAUACACUUCCUCAACUGAGACACGUGGAAGGUAACAUGAACUUCCUAAACUAAGACACGUGUAUAGCCGACUCAUCUGCUAUACACUUCCUAAACUUCUUGGUAUGCGUGUGCCAUGCGAUCAUCCCGACCUCUUCCCUCCGCUACCAGAAAUACCUGAAACCAAAACUAAAAACCGUAAGCACGAAGCUUAGUGAGUUCCCCAACCUACCACAUACCAUACAUAUCAACUGAUCCUUACACACCAUACAUAACAAUGCACACAUAACCGUAUACUGGGCCCCUGCCCGCCACAUCGGGCCUCGCCCGACAUUGAACCCCGCCCGACAUCUGUCCCCGCCUGCCAUCAGGUCCCACCUGGCAUUGAGCCCCGCUCGGUAUACAUAUUUUUCUCUCUUAGGCCCCACCUGUCUCACAGGCCUCGCCCAAUAGCAACAUACAUACAAUCAACUAGCGUAUUAGAAUAUAUAUAAACACAGUCCAACUGUACUCUGAUCUAAGGCAUUUCCUAACUUCGGCCCAGCCCCCAGUCUGCUACUGAAGUACUGGAACCCCAUCCAUACUCCUACUAGUAGUGAGAUACGGGCCCUUUCCUACACUCACAUCCCUCCUAUCACGGGCCUCACCCCUACUCGGCUAAUAUCGAGAUAUGGAACCCCAUCCAUACUCCACUAGUGAUGAGAUAUGGGACUUCACCAACACUCACCUCCCUGCCAGGCACAUACAAGUAUUACAUGGACACAAGUAUAAUCUAACAUGCAAUAUAAGAAUCCUCCUCGGGAUUUACCCUGCAUCGGACUCCCGGUCCGGAAACAUACUAUCAUCUAAAAUACUUCGGGCUUAACCCUACAUUAUACCCUCGGUCCCGAACCUAUCUUAUUGACACAUGCAAGAAUUAAAAAGACCUCUAGCAUCCUAACUUAUCUCGAGCCUCACCCAACAUCAGGUCGUAACCCGAAACAUACAACACUAAUUGCCUAGGGCUAACCCCCGUGUCUUCCUUCUAUACAUAAACAUAAACAUAAACAUAAACAUAAUGGGCCGACAUUUUGGCCAUAGACCCAUGCACACAGUGAGGAGACUCACCUUGCACUGCUGAAGACUAGCUAAACACUUAUGACUUCUAACCGAUAACUCCUGAACUGCUGACCCUUCAGCUUCCCGAACUAGCAAUACCCAAAAUAACAUUUAGACCACAAUAAUCCAAAAGUUAACCCAGGUCAAACUUGGUCAAUUCAACCUUCAUUUGACUUGACUCGCUGAGGUUGUCUACCAACUCAUUGAGUCCAUGCUCCACCAACACAAUAGAACCAUUGAUCCUACACGUCGAGUCUAGAAAGAACUCAACGGGUUCUCCUUCAUUUAUAGAAUCAGGACCAUUUUCAACCGACUCGCCGAGUUCAUCCUUGAACUCGUCGAGUUCAUCUCCCUCUUAUGAAUGUAUCCAGAAUAUCACCCACAGUGUUGUAUGAACAACUCGUCGAGUCCAUCUUCAUAAACUAAGGAGAUUGCCUUGGACUCGCCGAGUGUCUCCUUGAACUCGUCGAGUACGAUGAUCUUCAUGUCCACUAUGGACCUAGACUUGCCGAGUCCUUAACUAACUCAACUUAUCCCUUUAUAGAAGGGUUUUGGGGCAAGAAAAUGGCCUGAUUCACCAAGUCGCACAAGUGACUCACCGAGUCCCUCUAUGUCUCAAUCUAUUCAGAUGAUUUCAACCAAGCACAAGGCAUCCAAGACCCAGAUCUAACUACCUAGGGUCAGAAUAACACACAAAGCUACUACCUUUGCAUCCAUUUAUAGCCCUUUUUUCUCAAAAGGCCAUAACAACCUCUUAAAAUUUGAAUGGGGAGUUCUAAUAGCAUAAAGCUUCCACCUCUAUGCCUUAACUACUCUAAAUACUCUCAAACCUAAAAGGAUCUAUGCUUCAGAAGUCCAAAUCCCACAAGUAAUCAUUAUUUGUCCAAAAACUUCAUAAAAAGGGCUAUAACGAGGUCUAACAGACUAGAAGGUAAGAUGAAGACUUGAUUACCAAUAAGUGCAGCAAAUGGGGUGGAUCUUCUGGAUGUACUUCUUCCUUCUUGAACCUCCAACCUUCUUCUUGUUCUUCUAAGCUUCAAGAAGGCUCAAAGUCUCACAAAAUGGCUCACAAACUCAAAGGAGGCUCUAGGGUUUGGGGUCUGGUGGCUGAUGAUAAGGCCGGGGAAAUGAGAAUGAGAUGCUUAAAUAGGGUACAAAGUCCAAAUUUAGGGUUUUCCUGAAACGCGACCAAUUUUUCGAGUCUGUCUUGUAACUCAUCGAGUAGGUCACUUCACCAGCGACCCAAUUCGUGAUCCUACUCGUCGAGUCACUCCAUCUACUCGACGAGCCACUUCCUCAUUUUGAGUUUUUCUUCGCCUUCUAGGUCUUCUGAAUUCGGGGUGUUACAACUCUCCCCCACUUAAACUAGAAUUCGCCCUCGAAGUCCGCCACUAUGAACUACCUUAGAAUCCACUUACAACAUUACCACUAGUUACACACUUCACCAUUCGGUCCAAUAUUGUAAAAUAUCAUCUUCAGAAUAAUCUGAUCAUUACUAAUCUCAAGUAUAACACUUUUACCCAACCGGUACUUCCAGUACACUUACACUUGAUACACAAGGGGUUCGCCCCUUUACCCUGCGCUAUCACUGGCCUUUCCAAGGCAAAUUUCCACAAGCAAUGACCUUUCUAAUAUCCAUCAAGGACAAAUCCUCUGUGAAACUGCAAUCCCGACCACUCCCAGUGCCGGCCAUCACACCAAUACUCACGGAAUAAUUCCACAUACAAAGCCCUAAUACCGAAAACUCCACCCAGUGUAAAUCAGAUAAUCCUUCGAAUAACAUAUCCCUCUCUACUGUGGUUAAGACUCAACGAGAGCUACGCAACGGAAUCAAUUCCAAUGCUCGGAGAUUACUUAAUCUCACCGUGAGCAACUUAGCAUCUCCCGAUAAACUCACUGCUCUAUGCACCAAAAUCUCUUAUCAUCACUUUUGCCUGAAGUCCUACUGACUCCCAUCCUCCUUUCGGAUAAACCCAGACCACACUGGUCCCCACUACUCUACCAUUACUCGAAAUACUGGCUCCCCUCCAGUUACCGAACGCAUGAAUAAUCCCUCAGUCGCUCUCAGCGACUUCUGAAGAUAUUGCGACUACCUGAACUGCUCUACCAACCUAGCCACUCUGGCUCUAGAAUAUCUGGGAUCCUCGAUCCCCUACCUUACCCUACGGUCCCUACCAGGUCCCACCUGCUGCUAUAAGAACACGAGCCUCACUCACGGGUCUCACCCAAACUAUACGUUGGAGCAGCCUCUCCCGCAAGUCUCACCUAUCCAGGGCUAUGCAGGCCCACUCCUCCUCUAAUCACAACUUGCUACCCUUUCCUGAUUCCUAUCAUGCUAAUUCAGAGAUACGGGCCCCUGCCCACACUCUGCGACUAUUACACAGUCUUAUAUCCCGAUUAAUGUCGCACCUUGCCACAAGCUCUCCGACUUGGUUUCCUGAACCAGUCAUCAACUAAUCGCAAAUGCAUGAACUCAAGGUUGGAAAGUUUCCCCAACUCCCAACUUACCUGCUCCUCAAUCCAAGCAGCAACUUGAGCUGCUUUCUUCCUCACCAAGACUUCAAAACCACACCAGUCUUACACUUACUUCUCUCCCUAGCCACACGGGUGGCUCUCCCCCACUUUGACUUGACUAGCUCCUCAGAACCCACAACUUGGAAGAAUUCCCAAUUCUCCCUACCCUCCUUUGGCCACACUGUGGUCAACCCACAAUUACCGUAGCUGAUAAUCUAACUAAUCUAAUCCCAAACCAAUCUAACUCAAUCACAAGCAGGCCACAAAAUUCCAAAAUAUCAUUACCAAUAUCGAUGCAAAACCAUAACAAUACAAUCAUAACAUAAGCUGAUGGGGAAAUGAAAGAUACGCACCUCACACAUCGGGUUGCUUACACCUCCUCUGAAACCAACUGAUACACCCUGCUCCUCGCUGCAGGUGCCCCAGCCUAUCCCUGACGGCCAUCGGUGAUCCUCAAGGUUGCAGGGGUAGGGGUUGUUGAAUCAUAAAAGUGACCCUCUUAAACUUCAGCUACCGCAACUGCUACCACAUCCAAACUUGCUACCGCAACCUCUUCAGCACCCGCAGUUAGUCCCCUCAUCAGCAACCACAAUCAGAGUCUUUUGCUACCGCAGUCAUCAUAGCUAGAUUAAUUUAAUUGUCUUAUUGUAAUUCACUCUAUUGUCCAGUAUGCCUUGCAUGGCUACCAUAGAUUUGUAAUCUAGUGUUCUUCAUGCGUCUCUAUAAAUAAGAGCUCAUUCUAUUGUAUCAAACACUGAUAACUUAUGAUCUAUUCUGAAUACAUUACUCAAAAGUUAUCUUCCCUAUCUCUCUACUCUUCACUUCUUACUCUUAAUUAUUACUGAAACAUAUAUGAUUAUAACCUCUCUCCAGAGCAAGUCUUUGAGACUUAAUCACUAAGUUUGAUCUUCCUUAUUAACUUGGUUUGAAUGCAUUCCUUGUUAUGAAUCAACUUAUGUGGAUACUUGAUAUAAAAAUUGUUGUCAUUUACAUUUCUUUACUUUCCGCAUCUAACUCGCUAACUUCUAACUAUUAAUAUUAUUGUUGAGCUAAUAGAUCCUUCGAGAUUAACUAUUCCGCUAUAUACUUGUUCUAACCUUUGUUCAAGUGUGUCUUAAAGUUUUUUCUCUCAACAAUUGGUAUCUGAUCCAUAGUGGUUGCUUUUUGAAAAUCGGAACUCUGAUUUUUCAAAAAGCUUUCUAUACCACUGAAGCUCAUUUCUAAACAAAAAAAAUCUUCAAAAUGGCACAAUCGUUAUCACUGAAUGUCUCCAACAGUGUUGGUGGUUCCAAUCGAGCCCCAAUACUAGUUGCAAAUGAGUAUCAUCACUAGUCUCAGAGGAUGUAAAGAUAUCUCAGACGACUUGGUAGAGAUGUUUUGAGAUCCAUAGAAGAAGGACCCGAUGUUCCAGUCCUUACACCAGUCCAAACUGAUGGAGCCACAACAAGGCUAGGAGGAGGUCAACCAACUUUGAACCGUCCCACCAAAGAUGAUCUAGAAAAGAUGGAAAAUGAUGCUAUUGCCUUUUAUGAGAUCUCUUGUGGUGUUGCUCCUGACAACUUCGACAUCAUCAUAAAUUGCAAAUCAGCAAAGGAGAUUUGGGAUGUUCUCAAAAACUUGUACGAAGGUUCAGAGCAGGCUCAAGACAAGAAGCUUACUACAACACUCAAUGAAUUCAACAACUUCAAAGCCCACUCUGGUGAAAGUUUGGAAGACUCAUUUAAGAGAUUCAACUUGAUUGUCACAAAACUGUCCAAUGCGGGUACCAUACGCAACAAUCAUGAAACAAAUCUACAGUUCCUUAAUGGCUUAGGAAGACACUGGACAACAGCCAAAAUGAUUGUACAAGGUGACAGGAAGAUUCCCUCAUUAUCUCUCUAUAACCUUUAUGGAGAGUUGCAAGCUCAAGAGUCCACCGUACUCAAGGACUGCUCAGACUUCGGAGGUCCACUUGCAUUAGUAGCACAAUCACCUCACACUCAAACUUAUCCCACUUCGUAUGACUUACAACCGCAGUCAUAUGAAGCUGACUCAGAAUAUGACGAUGAAGAAGAGUUUCAGAAUGCCAUUGCUCUUAUCAGUCAUAAAUUCAAUCACUUACCACCCUCAUUUCGCAAAAACCAACAAUAUAAUCGACCACCUUUCAACCGCAACUUUCAAAACAAUCACUUCCAUUCCACCAAGAAUCCUCUUCCUCCACCGCAACCUCAGCAAACACAGCCCAAAGAAGUACCACCGCAGUCCCAAUCAACUGACUCCGGUACCUCUUUAGAAGACAAGAGUGACAUUAUUAUAUGUCACCAGUGCAACAAGGAAAACCAUUUUGCCAAGGAUUGCAAGGAAAACGUAGUGAAAGAUAGAGCCUUCUAUCUCAGAAUGGCUCAAGAACUGGAAGAUAAAGAAAACGUAAAGGCCUAUGUUGCUCAAGUGAAAAGGAAUCAUCAAGUUUGGUCAUCAGGUGAAGAAGAUGAAUAUAAUCUCAGUACAGGAAAAGGCAAGAUCUGUAUGGUAGCAACUGCUGAUGAAGACAACUUAACCAAUCUAAAGAAGAACCAUUGCUAUAUGGCAAAAGAUGGAACUCUCAGCAUUGUGGAACAGGUAAAACUUAUGAUUAAAACUUUAAAUUACAACAUGCAUGAUUCUCAACCUUUCAUAGACACAUUCAAUCACACUUGUGUUGCCGUCCUUACAAACUACAAUAAAGCCCUAGAUGAGAAGAACAUCAAUUCGCAAGAGAUGUUCCAUGUUAGAGGAUGUUUGGACAAUAAGUGACUCAAAAUGGAAAUGUUAGAGAAGGACUUAAUGCUACAAAAAUAUUCUAGGAUGUUAAGUGAAACACAAUUAGAAAUAGCCUUGAAUCAGAGAGAUUUAGCACAGAAUGAAAUUGUACGCUUAAAACUUUUAUUGAAAAGUUGUUUAAUGAAACUGAGGCCAUUGAGAAUCUUGUUAAUAAUGGGAAUGUUGAUAACACUUUUAACUAGGGUUGGUCCAAUGGUUACCCAACCACAACGGACUCCUCACCUUGGUUCACACAGGAACAUCCCUAUGUCCCACCAGACCGCAACUUCUUAUUUUCGGUCAAUAACAAAACAUUUCCUGAGGACAUCCAAGCCCACUUUGGUAAACUUCAUGAUCUGAGUAAUAAUUGUGUUAUAGAAGAAAUUCUCCCUGAAUUUCCUACUCAUGUUGAUAACACAGAUUCUCAGACAUCAUCCGUAGCCGAUAAGGAAAUUGUUAUUGAAAGUCCUGAAGUCUCUUUAGACUUCCCAUCAUUGCAGUCUGACCGCAAUGUUUCUAACCGUAAUCAUGAACUCCAAUUCAUCCCAUUGCACAACAUCAAAUGUCCCAUCGAAGUGUCCAACAAGACUUACUCUGUGGUAGUCCAAAGCACCACACUACUGACCGUAGUCAAAAGUUCUGUGACUAUUGAACCAAUCAAUCAUGAAUUACCAAUUAAAAAUUUUGAAUCUUGUCAAUGUUCUCAAACUCCUGACUUCUCAAGUUCAGAUGAAUCGAAUCACUAUUUUUCAAAAUCCUCAAAAGAUUUAAGGAAAUUGCAACUAAAUGUCACUGACUGCGGUUCUCCUAAGACCGAAGCAAAAAGAGCUUUUAAAGAAGAAUUUCGUUCUCGUGGCAAGCAACGGGAAAUUUGUUCAAAACAAAAGAAAUAUGUGAAAUGUCCAAAGUCAAAAAGUCCUGAAAAACUUGUUUUCUCAAAUUAUCAUUUCAAGAAAACUGUUUCCAAGAAAACAAAAAGGAAGGAGUUCAUUGUUUCUGACAAUACUCAAAAAACAUCUAACUCUAAGGAUAAGUCUUUUUGAUCAAAUAGUUUUCAAAUCUAUUCACUCAAUGAUCCAAAAUGGAAAGGUAUUCUACCUACUCCAACCCUUCCAGUGUCACUUUCAAAAUAUCAAAAAUGUAAAGGAAUUUUGCCGACUCCGGCACUCAAAAGGUCAUCUCAAGUGUUUAAGAAAUCACAUCACAAAAGGUCUACAUGUGUCUACACACCUGCAAAACCUGCACAAAACACUUUUUCGAGACACACAACCAAAAAGGUCAAAUCUCACAAUCCUCGGACUGGACAAAAGCAUAUUUUUUCUUGAAAACCUCGGACUCAGUCAAAUGUCAGGGAAAAUGACAAAACAUUCACGUGUCAAUGUCAAUGUCAAAAAAUUCUCUCUCAUGACACAUCUCAUCUCUCCCAAAAAACUCGUAACUAUCCACAAUCUCACAAAACCCCAAAGAACUUCAAACACCCAGGACUAGGCUUGAAAGUUGACUUAAAACCUGUCCCUGCCACCUCGCAUCAUGCAUCAAUUAACACAUCGUAUGUGACUUCGGGCUCCAAACUCACUUAGGUGCCGAAAUUAACCACUUAAUUUCUACAGGCUUUGUGCAAGGAGGAUCAAGAAGAAGAAUGGUUGAUUAACAGUGCCUGCUCCUUGCACAUGACCGUAAGGUUAGAAUACCUUCGGGAUUUCAAGCCUAUAUGCAAUGGUGGAAAUGUCAUAAUCGGAAAUAAUGCGAAUGGGAUCAUACAAGGCUACGGUGUACUCACUACCGGGAAUUUCUCAAUUCAGAAGGUCGCCUAUGUAGAAACUGUUGGAAUAGUGUCUAAGGCUGCAACUAUAUUAGGCAAGUAUUUGACCCGAUUGUGCAUGGUCCUUUUGGGUUGCCUUCACCAUAGCAACUUGACAGGAUGAUUUGUAAUGAGAGAAGAAAUAUUAUUUAUAUAUUAUGAGAAUAAUAUAAGGAAUAAUAAUAUUGUUAUUUGAUUAAUAUAAGUCAUAAAUUAAUUAGGAAUUAAUUUGGUGACUUAAAGAGAUUAAUUGAAUAAAAGGGCAUAAACUGUCAAUUGUAUGAUAGUUGUACUUUGGGCUGUAAUCCCUUAAGGAUAAGGGGUGGACGAUUUUAGGGCUUUGAUAGACCUAGAAAUCGUCCAAGGCGUAUCAUAAGGGGGAUUGGAUUGCUUAGGGCCUAAGUUAUCCAAUUAGGGUUUAAGGGUGAAACCCUAGGAGCCUUACAAGUAUAAAUAGACCCAAGGGUUCAAUGAAAUCGACACUCUUGCCUUUGGAAGAACCCUGGCCGACUUCUUGCCCUCUCCCCUCUCUCUCUAAUCAUCCUCUUUCUAAGUUGGUGUUUGUAUGCCAUUAGAGGAGUGACAAUUGUGACUCUAAGCUCCAAGGACAAGAAGAUUCAAUCAAGCAACUUAAGGUAAUCUUCUAGAUCUUUUUUUCUUAUGUUAUUACCUAGAUCUAUUGUUCAAAAGUCUUGGAUACAAUGCACGUUCAAUUAGAGAAAUCUAGAUCCAAGCAUUAGGGUUUGUAUGUGCACAUAGGAAUGUUCAUAUGGCUAAAACCCAUCAGUGGUAUCAGAGCCUUGAUUGGUUUCUAUUGAAUUGAUGCAUUGGUUGCUUGAUUGUUGCUUGCAAAAUUCGAAUUUUGUCAUUCUGCCUGAUGAACUCGGCGAGUUCCAUAGUGGACUCGGCGAGUAGGCCUCAACUCGGCAAGUCCAUUGUGGUACUCGUCGAGUUCGAGCGUUAGAAAGAGCUAAUUUCAGGAUUUCUUGCUGUUUAUCUUUUGGAUACUUACCUUAAUCUUAAUGGGUCAAUAUAAAUCCGAUUUUAAUAUAUAUUUGAGUAUAUUCUUGACCUAAUUGAAGAUAUUUAUCUAUUAAUUGAAUACUAAUUUCCUUAUGGGAUAAUUGAUUAAUUAUUUUAAUUAAAUUGGCAAAUUGUUUUGCAAGAAAUAAUUAAAUAAAUAAAAUAUGUAUAAUUAUGUGAUUAAAUGUUAAUUUGAAUUAUUUGUUAUUUGAUGCCCAAUGUUUUGAAAAGUUUAAAACUUUCCCUCAAGUUUUGAAAUUUAUGUUUUGUGAUUAAAAGUUUAAUUUAGACAAUUUAAAUUUCAAACCCUAGAAUUUUACAAGUUUAAAAUUUAACCCUAUACUAAUAUAAUAUUACAAGAUUAAUAUGUAUAUAUAUGUAUAAUUAAAAUGCUAGUGUUACCGUUAGUAGACCUCAUUCACGAAGAUGGUCUAUAAGGUGGGUAUAAGGUUGCGACCUAUAAAAUGGCGCUUAAUGGGUGUACACUCACACCCACCGCUUGCUUGAUUGGUGGAGGGUGGUUAGCCAACGGGGAGNNNNNNNNNNNNNNNNNNNNNNNNNNNNNNNNNNNNNNNNNNNNNNNNNNNNNNNNNNNNNNNNNNNNNNNNNNNNNNNNNNNNNNNNNNNNNNNNNNNNNNNNNNNNNNNNNNNNNNNNNNNNNNNNNNNNNNNNNNNNNNNNNNNNNNNNNNNNNNNNNNNNNNNNNNNNNNNNNNNNNNNNNNNNNNNNNNNNNNNNNNNNNNNNNNNNNNNNNNNNNNNNNNNNNNNNNNNNNNNNNNNNNNNNNNNNNNNNNNNNNNNNNNNNNNNNNNNNNNNNNNNNNNNNNNNNNNNNAAUUUGCAAGGUAAUUCACACCCACUUUGUGAUCCUCGGUAUCCCAGUCACAAACGAGAGGGGCAUAUCGAGAUUUAAACAUGCCAUUGAAAAGUUCAAUGAAUCCCAUCGAAACCUAGGAAUUCUCAACACAUUUAGAACUUAAAGUUAUGUUUUUAUGGUGGAGAAUUAGUGAAUCGUCAUUCACUUACCUUCAAAUUGUUUGCAUGUUAGAUUACGGCAUCCCUUUUCUAAUAUGUAAAUAUUGUUGUUGGAUCCUAGCCCUAAUUUUUCUUAUUGGGUGAUAAUUAGGGAUUCAAAUUCUAAUCUAUCUUUGUCCUUUCUAUUUGUAGAUGUCGAACGCGAACAACGCUGCUGCUAGUUCGUUCACAUUGAUGAGCCUUUGCCAAAAGGUGACUUUCGAUGGGACGAACUUUAGCGAAUGGAUAAGAUACAUUCGCACGAUUCCUCGCUACGAGGACAAGGAGUAUGUCCUCGAUGCGAGGCUCGAAAAGAUCAACCCAUAAAUCGCUACUCCGGCAGAAAUGACCGCUUUUGAGACUCAUGAACAUGAUGCGACGAAGGUUCAUUGCAUCAUGAUAGCCACAAUGAACGCCGAAUUCCAAAAGUCCUACGAGGACAUGUAUCCGUAUGAAAUGCACCAAGACUUAUUGGAGAGAUACCAUCAAAACGCGAGGCAGGAACGUUACGAGAUCUUCACUAACAUGAUCUCCGCUAAAAUGGGACAUGGAGAAUCUCUAACCGUGCACCUGCAAAAGAUGCAAAGGUAUGUCGAUCGUCUUCGCAAGUUGAAUGUUGACUUUGGGGAAGACUUGGCUAUCGACAUGGUGCUUCACUCCUUGCCUCCGUGUUACAAUCAAUUUAGGAUGACCUACCACAUGAACAAGGAGGAGGUCACCCUAAGCAAGCUCCAAGGUCUCCUUAGGGUUGCUGAGAGCAACCUCAAGGACAAGUCUGUUGCACCAACUCCCAAUCCACCCGCUGCUCCUGUUUUGGCUAUUGGGCAAGGAAGGGGCAAGAAGAGGAAGGCUCCGUCUAAGAGCCACCGCAAGGGAAAGUCCCGAGAUGGUUCCUCUUCUAGUGGGACCAAAGUUGAUCCUGCUAAGCCUAACCCUAACCCAAAGGAGGCAGAGUGCCACCAUUGCCACAAAAUAGGGCAUUGGAAGAGAAGUUGCCUAGAAUACCUGCAAGCCAUCUGUAAGGACUGAAAAAUUCCAACCAAUUUAAUUUUUUUCAAAAACAACUCGAUUCCAUUAAAGUUAUUACAAAAAGGUUUUCAAUACAAUUUAUUUAAAGUAUUCCCAGAAUCACAUCACGACAAAACAUGAGGAGCGGUACGAUCACACCUUCGCCUUGCCACGGUCUCCUGAAGAACCUGAAAAACAUUAAACCACAACUGUAAGCCCGAAAGCUUAGUGAGAUAUCCCCAAAAUACCAACCACAUAUACCAUACACGCAUAACAUGCCAUAUCAUAUCCGAUCACAGAACAGCCAUGCACUUCGGGUCUACUGUGUGACUGGUCCGCCGCACCGGCCAACAGUCCACCUGGUCCACCCUCCGAGUCUAGCCAUAUACAUCGAGUCUACAGUGUGAUUGGUCCGCCCGCACCGGGCCUUCAAUCCACCUGGUCCACUCUCUGAGUCUACAGUAUGACUGGUCCGCCCGCACCGGGCCUUCAGUCGGCCUGGUCCACUCUCCGAGCCUCGGCACGUCUGGUCCGCCCUCUUAGGGCCUACAGCCUAUCCGGACCGCUCGCUGGGCCUUCGGGACAACCGGUCCACCCUGGGUAUCUUGGCCUACAGCACAAAGCAGGACCCGCCUCAACCCAACUCCAGUCCAAACAACCAUGUGCACAUAAACAUACAAUCAUAUAACAAUUCACAGUCAACAAACCGAUCAAACAGAUCACAUAACAUAUCAUCAUCCUAACCAGGAUACCGACCUAACCGGUCACUAGCAUAGCAUCACCCUACAUCUCAGGAUACCGAUCUCAACCAGGUCUCUAAUAUAUACCAUCCUAGCUACCAGGAUGCAACAUAUCAAAGCAAUAACAUACAACAAUUACCCGGAUCUCAAUCCAAUAAAGGGCCGGCCUUGGUGCCUUAGACCCUGUUGAUAUAGUGACGACAACUCACCUGCCGACUGAACAGAUAACCCACGCUGCUCCGAUCACUGAUAUGGUCUCCACCACUGGACAACCACCAAGGCACUGAACUCAAAACAAUAUCCAACAAUUACCAAAAUGCCCCUGGAAAUCACUGGUCAACCCUUGGUCAAAGUCAAAGUCAAAGUCAACCCCUGACUGACUAUACUCGCCGAGUCAACCCGAUGACUCGCCGAGUCCCCAUGCUCAGAAUUUCCUUCAAUCCGCGACCCAACUCGUCGAAUCACCCAGAGACUCACCGAGUCCAACAACUCUGAGUCCACUCGUACACAAAUCACCGAGUCAUCCCUUGACUCACCGAUUCUCGGCUCAACCAGAAAAGAUUGGGACUCUUCUACAAGACUCGCCGAGUCCAAGAACAGACUCGUUGAGUCUAAGGCUAUCUUCAACUUGCUCGUCGAGUUGUUCUUCCAACUCGCCGAGUUUCAGGCGAUCUUCAUCCAACUCACCGAGUUGUUCUUCCACCUCGCCGAGUUCCAGCCUAUCUUCAAGCAACUCGCCGAGUUCACCUUUGUGACUCGCCGAGUGCCUCUCGAUCUCAUUCCAUACAGAAGCAUUCCAGGCCAUGCAAUUGAUCCAAAACAUAGAUCUACCCUUCCUAAGGCCAUCUAUCACGUAAAGUGGCAAACUUUACGUGAAUCCAAGGAGAUCUAGGCAUUUUCACUCUAGGGUUUGGGUUUGGGACACGAUAGCUCCUUCAAUCACUCAUCAACUGGGACUUUAUGACAUACAAGACCAUCCCAAGCUUAGAUCUAAAUUAGUAUCCUCAGAUCCAAGCUUUUAUCUCAAUUUAGAUGUCAUAUCAACCACCACACAUGAACCCACGAAGAAAAUAGCUUAAGGAAAUGGUUCCUUACCCAAAGAAUGAGCCCAACCAGCUGUAGAUUGCUGAUUCCCCGAAGCUUCCUGAGACAAGCCUCCAAUCUUCAAGCUUAAAGCACGAAAUAUCCUUCUCCAACCUCUAAUUCACUCAACAAUGGGGUCUCCUCAUGAAUUUAGGGCUUCUGGAACUCAAGGAAUGAUAAGGAGGCUGGGGAGAAGAUAUGAUGUUCUUUAUAUAGGGCUCAACCCUUGAAAUUAGGGUUUUCUCCAUUCAACACCAACUCGCCGAGUCUACCCAUGCUACUCGCCGAGUUGGUCACUUAACACACGACUAGAGUCGCGACCCUACUCGCCGAGUCCCCUCAUGGACUCACCGAGUUCCCCUUCCCAAAUUACUCUUUUAGCCCUCCAACUUUACUCUUGAUAUUCCGGGAUGUUACAAUUCUCCCCCACUUAAAUUAGGCUUCGUCGUCGAAGCCUGCGGCAAUUCAACUCUAGAACUACUCCUGUAAUGCACCACCUGGCAUUAACGCACAACCAUCGAAACUAGAAACUCACUUUCUCCUUUCUUGCGGUGUCCUGACCACCGUCUCAAGCCGGCCACUGGCUUCAUCCUCUGAUAACCCCACUUAACUACUGAGUACUACUCAUGAUGCAACACUGCUCCAAAUCGCAACCAUUACUCGACCCAAAUGAGCUAGAAAUAACCAUGCACCACUGGAUUCCUGAUCCGAGCCCAACUCUAUCCAUUCCGCUGACAGAAAGACACACUCUUCAGAGCAACUCCCAUGAGUUCUCCUCUUGCAAUCACAUACACAUGAUGAACUAGCUCUAGCACCCUCGGGUUGGGAAAAUCCAUCACACUGACGACACCUCCAAACAUCCCCCAGGAUGAAUUACAACUACAUACUACAUUCCUUGAUCAAAAUCAAACUGGGAAUCCAAGACUCCACCCCUGCAUCCCUUCCGAGCCUCUUGGCUCUACAGCCUCGGAAUUCCUUCCGUGACCUCAGCAGACAUCCAAUCCGGAUGUGAUUCCAUUCCACUGCCGCAAACACGCUGCUCAAUGACCCUACUUCGAUUAUUCCAAUCACAACUCUGCAUUGCUGCUUUCACGUCCAUGAAAUUACACUCCCUCUCGGAGCUACAUUCUUCCCUUUCCUUACCAAGGAAAACCACUUGGUUGCCUUGACACUACCACAAGUGCCACGAUGCUCGCCCAAUGCUACACCACUCCUUCAUAGUGUGACCGCUAUCCAUCCAACACACAUGCUCUGAUUCUACUCUUAAGGACUCUCGAGUCCAUGCACCAUCUCCACUAAUCAGGAUCAAUACCCGGGGCCAGACCUUCUAAUGCUAUCACACCGCAACAUACAUAAUCCAUAUCCUUGAACCGAUCUAACAAUACCUGCAGAGUCUUCAGCAUGACUGCACCGCCUUACCAGGCCUUCAGCCAAUCUAGACCACUCUCAGAACCUUCAGCCAAUCUGGACCGCCAUCUAGUGCCUUCAGUCUGGCUGGACUGUUCUCCGAGCCUUCGGCCUGACUGGUAUGCCGAUCGGCCUUCAUUCUAUCCGGACCGCUCAACUAGCAUUCCUCAUUCCGAGUUAUCUCUCUAGGGAACCCUCCCAUGCAUACUGUUCUAGCCCUCUAGGGAUUUCAAACUCUAUCUCCAUCAUACAUACUCGAUCCCGGCCCGAUCCCAAGCCUUCCACAAUCAAAUGCCCUAGGUCUGUAUCCCGCCCCGCAUGCCUGCCACUUACUCAUACCAGCCUACGCUCUUGGCUAACAGAACACUGCUGAAUCCCAAACAGCUAAACAAUCUCACAUACUCAUCGAUCAUCCGGAGAAUUUUCCAAUUCUCCUCCACUUAGGGCACUGACUAUCAACCACCGGUCGCUAUCACCGACCUCCCAAAACAACCCUGCACAAAACCAACACUUACAAGCAGACUGAUUCCCACUAGCACUAGCAACCUUCACAAAAAUCACAUUUCCACACUGAUCAUCCCGCUUGAAAGAAACUCAAUCUGCAGCUAACGACUCCUCAGAAGGCAGAUGCUACCCGACAUUCAGACCAACGCCAGAUUCCCACUAAAAACCCCAUGAAUGAUAACCAAUGAAAUUCCCAACACUAACCCAUNCACAACGAAAACCAAACAAUUACCGGCUCAUGAACAUUACACCACAAUAAUCACAAGAUAACAAGACAUCAAGAAAGAAACAUACCCGCAGCUGUCUCUGGCACUGCCCUGACCUCCUCUGCAACAAGCUGAAAAACACGACCCUGAGCCCUUGGGGGCUCCGCUCCACCCUGACCUCCACCUGUGAUCCUCAAAGUGGCCGGUGCUGGAGCCUGCACCGGUCCUGUAGCGAGCUGUGGACAGUUGACCAUCAAAUGUCCAACCUGAUGACAAUGAUAACAAAUCCUCAAAUCCCGAACCGGUGCUGACUGCCGACAAUCGCUCGCAUAGUGCCCCUCCUUUGCGACAUGCACCACUGGACCUACAAACUCCGGUGUGACUCCUCCCACACUUCCCACAAGUGUGGCUAAUCAGAUCUCCCACUCUAGAAUCAACGGUCUUGGACCGUUUUGGCGCCGGCUGCGACUGCACCAGAGCCUGCCUCAGCUCACGCAACUUCAACUCAAUCUCUAACUCGUGCCGCCUGGCGGCCUCCUGCAACUCCAACAAAGUCUCGCACCUCUGCGUAGACACAAACUGUCUGAUAUCCCUAUUGAGCAUGCUCAGAUAUCGAGACAUCUGAGCCUGCUCCGAAGCGAACUCAGGGCAGAAUAUCGCCCUCUCAGUGAACAUCCCGGUGAUCUCAGUCACUGACUCAGAACCCUGCUUCAGCUCCAGGAACUCCUGAGCCAAUCUCUCUCUCUCAACCUGCGGAACAUAACGAGUGCUGAACAUCUCUCUGAACUGAUCCCAUGAAAGCGCAGCCCUCUGCGCAUCUGAAUAUGACUCCGUGGUCAAUCUCCACCAAUCCUUCGCCCCAAGCCUUAACAGGUUCAGAGCACACCUCACCCUCUGAUCAGCUGGGCAUGAACACGUGAAGAAACACCCCUCCAUGUCCGAUAACCAUCUCAUAGCAACAAUCGGGUCCUGAACUCCAUCAAAGGUGGGAGGCUUCGUAUUAUCGAAGUCCCGAUACUGAAAACCCCGACCAGCUCCUCCCCCUAUUGCUGCUACAACCGUUGUAGCCGCCGCGGCAGCCGUCUCUGUGAGAGCUGCAUAGCGCUCAUCAAAAUACUCAACCAUGGCGGUCUUGAUCGACCCAAACAGCUCCGGCAACUCAGCCCGGAACAACGCAGCAAUCUCAUCACGCAGGAUCUCACGAAUCCUCGCAUCCAACUCGCACGUGCUCAUCUGACCAAUAACCUCGGGCGGUACUGACCCGCCCGGAACUCCCUCUCCUGCUCCCGAUCCUGACCCGGAUCCACUCCCAGCAUGCCUCGGAAUCUCCAUACUGAAAAACACCACAAAAUCUCAGACACUUCCCACUAACCCGGGAACCAACUCUCAACCCAACCCUAGAGGUCAUGGUUUCCCUGAUACGCGUAUGGGUCCUGUGCUUUCAGUAGUACGGGCCCAUACUACCUUCCACACCUACCCAUAUUUGUAUGAAGUACUACCACAACACCCUAGUGAAAACAUGCAUAACAACUCUCAACCCUCACCACUAGAGGAACACUGAAAAUCUCCCACAAGGAAACCCUAGGCUACAGGCAUCACAAAUCAGGCAACAUUAUCAUGAAAUCCUGAAGAUCCCUAGCCUAACACUAGCAUGCUGUUCUAUCAAAGCUCAAAAACAAAUAUCAUGUAUGGUAUUUUGGGGUUACUUACUGGCUCCGGCUGAUCGUACCUCCGCGUCCUCCUUUACUCAUUUUGAAAACCAUUUUAAAUUCUCUUUUGAAAACUCUCCUCGAUUUGAGACUGGAGUCACACGAGUGUUCCUCCAAUUCACUCAAACCAAGGCUCUGAUACCAAAUUGUAACGACCAAAAAUUUCAACCAAUUUAAAAUUUUCGAAAACAACCUGAUUCCAUUAAAGUUAUUACAAAAAGGUUUUCAAUACAAUUUAUUUUGAGUAUUCCCAGAAUCUCAUCACAACAUAAACAUGAGGAGCGGUACGAUCACGCCUUCGCCUUGCCACGGUCUCCUGAAGAACCUGAAAAACAUUAAACCACAACUGUAAGCCCGAAAGCUUAGUGAGAUAUCCCCAAAAUACCAACCACAUAUACCAUACACGCAUAACAUGCCAUAACAUAUCCGAUCACAGAACAACCAUGCACUUCGGGUCUACUGUGUGACUGGUCCGCCGCACCGGCCAACAGUCCACCUGGUCCACCCUCCGAGUCUAGCCAUAUACCUCGAGUCUACAGUGUGAUUGGUCCGCCCGCACCGGGCCUUCAAUCCACCUGGUCCACUCUCCGAAUCUAACCACAUACAUCGAGUCUGCAGUGUGAUUGGUCCGCCCGCACCGGGCCUUCAAUCCACCUGGUCCACUCUCUGAGUCUACAGUAUGACUGGUCCGCCCGCACCGGGCCUUCAGUCGGCCUGGUCCACUCUCCGAGCCUCGGCACGUCUGGUCCGCCAUCUUGGGGCCUACAGCCUAUCCGGACCGCUCGCUGGGCCUUCGGGACAACCGGUUCGCCCUGGGUAUCUUGGCCUACAGCACAAAGUAGGACUCGCCUCAACCUAACUCCAGUCCAAACAACCAUGAGCACAUAAACAUACAAUCAUAUAACAAUUCACAGUCAACAAACCGAUCAAACAGAUCACAUAACAUAUCAUCAUCCUAACCAGGAUACCGACCUAACCGGUCACUAGCAUAGCAUCACCCUACAUCUCAGGAUACCGAUCUCAACUAGGUCUCUAACAUAUACCAUCCUAGCUACCAGGAUGCAACAUAUCAAAGCAAUAACAUACAACAAUUACCCGGAUCUCAAUCCGAUAAAGGGCCGACCUUGGUGCCUUAGACCCUGUUGAUAUAGUGAGGAUAACUCACCUCAAAACUGCCGACUGAACAGAUAACCCACGCUGCUCCGAUCACUGAUACGGUCUCCACCACUGGAAAACCACCAAGGUACUGAACUCACAACAAUAUCCAACAAUUACCAAAAUGCCCCUGGAAAUCACUGGUCAACCCUUGGUCAAAGUUAAAGUCAAAUUCAACCCCUGACUGACUCUACUCGCUGAGUCAACCCGAUGACUCGCCGAGUCCCCAUGCUUAGAAUUCCCCAAUCCGCAACUCAACUCGCCAAGUCACCCCGAGACUCGCCGAGUCCAACAACUCUGAGUCCACUCACACACAACUCACUGAGUUCUCUCUUGACUCACCGAUUUUCGGCUCAACCAGAAAAGUUUGGGACUCUUUGACAAGACUCGUCGAGUCCAAGAACAGACUCGUCGAGUCUAAGGCUAUCUUCAACUUACUCGCCGAGUUGUUCUUCCAACUCGCCGAGUUCCAGGCCAUCUUCAUCCAACUCGCCGAGUUGUUCUUCCAACUCGCCGAGUUCCAGCCUAUCUUCAAGAAACUCGCCGAGUUCACCUUUGUGACUCGCCGAGUGCCUCUCGAUCUCAUUCCAUACAGAAGCAUUCCAGGCCAUGUAAUUGAUCCAAACCAUAGAUCUACCCUUCCUAAGGCCAUCCAUCACAUAAAGUGGCAAACUUUACGUGAAUCCAAGGAGAUCUAGGAAUUUUCACUCUAGGGUUUGGGUUUGGGACAAGAUAGCUCCUUCAAUCACUCAUCAACCGGGACUUUAUGACAUACAAGACGAUCCCAAGCUUAGAUCUGAAGUAUCAUCCUCAGAUCCAAGCUUCUAUCUCAAUUUAGAUGUCAUAUCAACCACCACACAUGAACCCAUGAAGAAAAUAGCUUAAGGAAAUGGUUCCUUACCCUUAGAAUGAGCCCAACCAGCUAUAGAUUCCUGAUUCCCCCAAGCUUCUUGAUACAAGCCUCCAAUUUUCAAGCUUAAAGCACCAAAUAUCCUUCUCCAAGAUCUAAUUCACUCAACAAUGGGGUCUCCUCAUAAAUUUAGGGCUUCUUGAACUCAAGGAAUGAUAAGGAGGCUGGGGAGAAGAUAUGAUGUUCUUUAUAUAGGGCUCAAUCCUCGAAAUUAGGGUUUUCUCCAUUCAGCACCAACUCGCCGAGUCCACCCAUGCUACUCACCGAGUUGGUCACUUAACACGCGACUAGAGUCGCGACCCUACUCGCCGAGUCCCCUCAUAGACUCACCGAGCUCCCCUUCCCAAAUUACUCUUUUAGCCUUCCAACUUUACUCUUGAUAUUCGGGGAUGUUACACCAUCAGGGAAGGAAAGAUCAAGCCGUCUUUCGUAGGUAUAUACACAAUUAAAUCUAAUGAUUUAUCUCAUGCUAUUUCUUGGGUACUAGAUACCGAGUGCGGUUACCACAUUUUUUCUGAAUUGCGAGGACUAAGAAGAAAUAGGGAUGUGGAGCAUGGAAGAAUAAAUCUAAUCAUGGGGAACAGAAGAUCGUCGCCUGUGACCAAGAUUGGAGUGUAUUCUUUAGUUCUUAGUAAUGGCUUAUGUUUAGAUUUGAAUAAUUGUUGCUACUCACCAGAAAUGGCAAGAAACAUCAUUUCGUUUCAUGGUUUGUUUAGACAAGGAUUUAGAUUUUCUUUUAAUAACGAGAAUGGUUCAAUUUAUGCUUAUCUAAAUGGUGUCUUAUAUUUUGAAGCAAUGCCCUGUAAUGGAAUUUAUGAAAUUGUUAUGAUUGUAGAUAACCCAGGAAAUGAUGUUUUGUGCAUGGAUUCUUCCAAUAGUAUUGAUAAAGCAUCCUUGUGGCAUUGUCGUCUUGCACAUGUCAACAAGAAGCGCAUAGCCAAAAUCCAAAAGGAUGGAGUGUUAGAGUCAUUCGACCUUAGGGAAGAUGACACAUGCGAGUCUUGUUUACUUGGAAAGAUGACCAAGUCACCCUUAACUAGUACAUGUGAAAGGGGUGAGGGUUUAUUGGACCUCAUACAUACCGAUGUAUGUGGACCCUUUAGAUCAACCACGAAGGAUGGAAAACGCUUCUAUGUGACUUUUACCGAUGACUAUAGUAGAUAUGGGUAUAUCUACUUAAUCAAGCAAAAGUCAGAAACGUUUGAAAAGUUCAAAGAGUUCAAGAAUGAAGUGGAGAAUCAAUUGGGCAGGAAAAUCAAGAUGCUUCGAUCCGAUCGAGGAGGAGAGUACCUAAGUCUUGAAUUCCACGACUAUCUUAAGGAGUGUGGAAUAGUUUCACAAUCGACGCCACCUAAGACACUGCAGUUGAAUGGUGUGGAAGAAAGGUGUAAUCGAACCUUGUUAGAUAUCGUUCGCUCUAUGAUGAGUCGUGCUUCACUACUUAUCUCUUUUUGGGGGUAUGCCUUAGAGACUGCCGCCCAUAUCCUUAACCGAGUCCCUACUAAGAAGGUUGCCAAAGCACCUCACAAGAUGUGGACAUGGAAAGCUCCCUCGUUGGCACAUAUCAGGGUUUGGGGUUGUGAGGCUUUCGUAAGACGACAUACUCACGACAAGCUUGAACCACGUAGUAAGCGAUGUAUUUUCAUCGCCUACCCGCAGAAAUCCUUUGGAUAUCUCUUCUAUAGACCGAAGGACAAUGUUGUCUUUGUUGCGAGGAGAGGAGUUUUCCGAGAGCGAGAAAUCAUAAGCCAAGGAGACAAUGGGAGGCUUAUCGAGCUUGAAGAGAUUCAAGAGUCAAUUGAUGAAGGAACCUCUACCGCUGGCGCUCAACCCGAGGAGGAAACUCCGGUUGAACCGAUUGAUGAGUCCUUACCUCUUAGACAUUCCGAAAGAGUUAGAGUUCAACCCCAGUUUUAUGGUUUUCAUAUUACUACCGAAGGGGACACGUAUAUUAGUGAUGGUACACUAAUAAAUCUUGAUGAACCUAAUAGCUAUAAGGAAGCCAUGGCAGGCCCGGAGUCUGCAAAAUGGAAAGAGGCAAUGGAUAGCGAGAUCCAAUCCAUGUAUGAUAACCAAGUUUGGAAUUUGGUUGAUUAUGUGCCCGGACGUAAGACCGUUGGGUGCAAAUGGAUCUUCAAGAAGAAGACCGACGUGGAUGGAAACGUACACACAUAUAAAGCGCGAUUGGUUGCGAAGGGCUUUACUCAAACUCCCGGAGUUGACUAUGAUGAGACCUUCUCACCAGUUGCGAAGAUAAAAUCUAUUAGAGUGAUGCUAGCUAUUGCCGCAUUUCAUGAUUAUGAGAUUUGGCAAAUGGAUGUCAAGACCGCUUUCCUUAACGGAAAGUUGGCUGAAGAUGUUUACAUGGCUCAGCCAGAAGUUUUUGUUGAUCUGAAGCAUCCGAAUAGAGUGUGUAAGCUUGAGAAGUCCAUUUAUGGACUUAAGCAAGCGUCUCGCAGAUGGAAUCUUUGCUUCGAUGAGAAAGUCAAAGAGUUUGGAUUUGUACGAAGCGAAGAUGAAUCAUGUGUAUAUGUCAAAGCCAGUGGGAGUAUAGUAAGCUUCCUCGUUCUAUAUGUCGAUGACAUAUUACUCAUAGGAAACGACAUCCCGACUCUGCAGGAAGUUAAGUCCUGGCUCGGGAAGUGCUUCGCUAUGAAGGACCUCGGAGAAGCUUCUUACAUUUUGGGAAUAAGGAUAGUGAGAGAAAGAAGUAAGAGACUAAUAGGACUUAGUCAGAACACUUACUUAGAGAAGGUACUAAAACGUUUUAGUAUGGAAAACUCAAAGAAGGGAGAAUUACCGAUACAAAGUAAUGCCAAGUUGAGUAAGACUCAAAGUCCGAGUACCGAAGCUGAAAUAGCAGAAAUGAGCCGAGUACCAUACGCUUCCGCAGUUGGCUCAAUCAUGUACGCUAUGACUUGUACUCGCCCUGAUGUAGCCUUUGCUUUGAGCAUGGUUAGUAGAUAUCAAGGGAACCCUGGCAGAGCCCAUUGGAUUGCGGUCAAGAAUAUCCUUAAGUACCUUCGGAGGACGAAGGAAUGGUUUUUAGUCCUCGGAGGGAGUGAUGACUUGAAGGUGCGAGGG